rnacentral:lncRNA from 1 species
AACAAAAAUAACCCAAAAUGUAAAUAUCCAGAGAUGUACAAAAUCUCAAACAAAUAUUCAAACCUAAAUUCAAAUUUCAAAUUUGUUCAAUAAAUUUUGUUAAUUAAAAUGAGCCCAAAUUACUAUAGGUCUUAGCCCAAAAUAUCCAAAUUAAUAAUCAAAAUAUAAACACAAUCAACCAAACCUAAAAUUUGAUAAAUUAAAAUAAAUUCUACUAGGCCUAAAUUUAAUAUUCCAUGAUUCAAGUCUAAUUUAAUAUACAUCACAAUUGUCCCAUGUCCAAAUUAAAUAGUUCAAAUUGGUCAAGCUCAUAUCAAUUAUUCAAGUCAUCCAACAAAUUUCACCCACAUUGUGGGUCCAAAAUUCAUAUCAAUUAACAAGUCCACAUUAAUAAUAAUACACAUAGCCAAAGGAAAUAAUGUCUCAAGCCUAAUCCAAUAAGCCCAAAUAAAUAACCAAUAAGCAAUAGGCCUAUGUCCAAAUAAGAUAAACAAUAUGCAAUUGACAUAAUCCAAAUAUCCCAAAUUAAUCACCAAAUGCAAUAUAUCUACAAAUCCAAAUUCUAUAUAAAAAAACAAUACAUUGUAGAGAUCAAGAAUUUAUUAUAAUAAGAAAAUAAAAACACGUAAAUAAUAAAUAAGGAAAUGAAAAGUUACCAAAUUUCAAAGAAGAGAAGAGAGUAGCAGUGGAGGUGUGAAGGGGGGUUGCUGGAAGUGGCGCCAACAAUUGGCCGAUAAUAAGCCAACAAAUGGAGCGGUGUAGUGGGUUUGGGUGGAGAGAAAGAAAAAUAAGAAAAAUAAAAAAAAAAUUAAAAGGAAAGAGAGAAAAUGGAGAAAAAUGAGGGAAGGGGAGAUGGUGCGUGCUAAAGAUGGGUAGAUGGGGAGGAAGAAGGGAAAGGAAAGAGAAAAAAAACGAGAAAUGGGAAGAAAAAAAAUGAAAAAUCAAGAAGAAAAAAAAAGGAAAAGAAGAAGAGAUGAGAGGGGGGAAUGGGGGAAGUGUGGCAGUGGCAAGUGGUCAUGGAGUGUGGGGAGGGAGUCGAGAUGAAGUAAUAAUGGAGGGGAAAAAAACGAAGAGAGGAAAGUAGAGAAAAAAUAAUAUAAAAAAAUCAAAAAAGAGAAGUUGGAGGGGAGUAUGGGGAGUGACUUAGACUUGCAGGAGAAGGGAAUGGGUAAGGGGAGUAGGUGGAGUGGGUAGGAUGAUGAGAAAGAGGGAGAGAGAGGAGAGAGAAAAUAAAAUAAAAAUAUAAUAUAAUAUAAUAAUAACAAAUAAAAAUAAAACAAUUUACAAAAUAAUAAAAACUAAUAAUUAAAGGGUGUAAGUGGGCCAAACAAUUUAGAUGUAAUCGGGAUUUAAAUCUAAAGAUAAAAUUGAGCUCAAUAUCAAUGUGAAAAUAAAAUUGGGACAAAUUUUUGGGUCUACACAUCCCUUGCCUUACCCAUGUCAACCAUGCACCACCAUGAUUGUUUUAAUCUAAUUAAUGCAACGACACCUCAUAUCGUGUUCAAGUCCUUUUGGUUGCAACAAUGAGCCAUGACAUUAUGCACUUGACUUGUCAUUCUUAAGCACUGAGGCAUGGCACCUUUGUGUCAUGCAUCAAUCAUGUGUCUAAGUUAGCAAUAUUGUUGUGGCCUUGACAUGUCGUGCCUUAAUGUCGCAACAUGCCAUGGCAUUGGACCUAUGGCCUAUGUAGCCACCUUAGUGCACAAUGUUGAGUGCCCUCGUGCCAACAUCAAGGAAAGAGAGGCUACACCACACCUUAUGCCAUUAUGGCCACGGAUUACACACCACACAUGUUAUGAAGCCCAUAUGUGCUUGUUAGCAAGCUCAUUCAUGUGUCAUGGCCAUACCCAAGGCCAUGACUUAGUGGCCCCUUAGUGCAACUAAGGCCUUGCCUUGGUGCCCUCCUUAAGUCAUCAAACCCCCUCCCCUUAAAGAUCAUUUUAGGUCAUUUUGGAUGUUUUUGGAGGAGAUAUCAAUCAUGCUUGAGGAGGAAUAGCAUAUUUAUUUAUUAAUUAAUUAAAUAAAUCCCAAUGAGCAUCACAUUAUGUCUAACCUGCUAUUGUGUGUGUGGCCAAGCGUGUGACUUAUUGUUAUGCACUUGGGUUGGGCAUGUAGGUUGGUGCUUGUGCGCAUGAGCCCACCAAUGCACAAGUUGUUGCUUGUGCCGCUUGUGCACGUGGACAUGUGUGCGACUUGUGCAUGUGAACGUGUGUAUGGCCUAUGCACAUAGGCAUGUGCACAACCUAUGCGUAACUUAUGCAUGCAGCCUAUGGACGCAAGUGUGUGCAUGGCCUAUGCAUGCCAUGCGCUAUUGCUAGCCUUAGUGUUGCCCCAACUAGUAAUACUUCUCCUUUGCCUCCGAACCUCCAAUCCCACCUUACUUCCUUCUUAAGGCCCCCAUGGGUGCAAGGCCUACCCAUAAAGGCUCUAGUGUCGUUGUCUGAGUCAAGAGGCUAAUAGUUCCUUACUUCCACAAGAUACAAAUUUCUAAUUUUGUCAUUUUUAGAUACUUCUUUUCAGACAUAUUACCAAUAUUAAGUAGCAGUAAAAAAUUUGUAUCUAUUUUUCAUGAUAUUAUGUAUAUAUGGAUAAGAUAUAUCAUGGUGAAAUCUUCGAAGAAAAUUGUGAGUUCCACCAAGGAAUCUAAUAAGUAAGAUUUAAAGUAAGUGUUUAUAUAAUCUUCUUAUGAAGAACUUAAUUCUUUUGGCAUAAGAACAAUUGAGAAAGGGGCUUUUAGGUAAGAGGCAAUGAUACUUUAAAUACAUGAGUCAAUCCUUUUAGUAAGCACCUAUGACACUAAGAGGGUGUUUGAUAAAAACUUAAUACUUAUUAUUUAAUAACUUGAUUUUUAAGUUAAACCAUUUUUAAAUUAUUGACUUAAAACUGCCCGCUUAUUUUUUACUUUUAGUAUAAAGGUUUUUUUGGUAAAAUUUAACUUAAGGUUCAUACUAAAUGAUCAAAUUAACAUAUAUAUCUUCAUUAGUUUUAACUAAUAUUUAUUAUCAUUAAUUUUAACUAAUUUUAUUUUCUUUAAUCUUAAACAAUAAAUUUGUUUAUAAAAUAUUUAUAUUUAAAGUAUUAUAUAUACAUAUCAUAAUCACAAAAUAUUUAUUAUAAAAAAUGAAUUAUGGAUGUAGAGGCAUGAUUGUAAAAUAUACCACAUUAGAUAUGGACAAAUGAUGCAAAAUAAAUAAAUAAAUAAAAAUAAAAAAUAAAAAUGGAGAUUAAAGAUAAAUUAACUAUUUUGAUGUAAUACUUGAAUUUAUUUUUAACUUUAAAUCCCAGUAUUAAAUUAUUUUAUCAAACAUAUUUAAUCUACUAAGAUCAAGUUAUUAAAUCAUAUUAAGGAGAGAUUUUCAAGCACCCAUGCGACAUUUGAAAUGACAUUUACAUCACUUCAAGCCUUAUAAUCUUUAGAAUGUCACAUUCACUCUUAUCUUUUGGAACCAAUGUUCUCUAUAUUCCUGUAAAGUUUCAAUCAAUCAGUCAAUCUAUGGAAGUUACUGACUUUGGAGAUCUUGAGCUUUUACAUGAUAGUCUGGGUGGACAGUACAAUUUUCUACAUGUUUAAUACUCCCCCUGUAUUCUUUAAACAUCAGUCCAAGCACUCAGUUACUGCAAAUCCUCUUUUUCUGCUAAUGAUCUCCAUAAUCUAUGGAAUACUUUCAAAUCAACAAUCACUAAAAACCCCAAGUUAAGCCACUGCUUGAAGGAGUUUUUCGAGUUUGAUUUCAGUCGGAAUGAUUAUGCUUGCACAAUCUUUAAUUGUUUAAGUGCCACAUAGUUGCUUAGGUCAUAGGAAAAACCUACCUGCACAAUCUCAAGUUGUCUAAGUGUUGCACAGGCUGCUUACAUAUAGUAAUAAAGCUGCAAUUUUAGCACCCAGAAACAAAGACAAAUAGUCACUAAUUAGGUAGAUUACAGGAAUCUAUCACCUUAAUCAGAAAACCUGAAUCAAACCCCAUUAUAAACAGGUAGAAGCUCAUCUUAUUUGAGGUGAAACAAUCACACAUGGAGCAACUAUGUGGAAACCCAGGAAACUAUCAUUGGAACAAUGAUUGAAAUCCAUGCAAAAAAGCAUGGUACAAGAUCAAUAAGCAAGAUAAAAUGUACAGAUAGUAUUAAGAAUAAUUGAAGAUUAAUAGGGAGGGUGAUAAUGAACCUCCAGGCUUCAGCCUUUCUCGAGAAUAUCAGUUUGUCACUAAGAUCUCUAAGUUUGAUGGAAAAUCCAUAGAGUUGGCCAUGGAUUCCGCUUUCAUAACACUGCAAGAUAUUUCAGUUUGACAUCGCCAUCGACAUGAAUGACUCCAAGCACAGUAACAAAAGUUGGAAACAUCCCAAAGUUGCAUCUAACAAAGAACUAUAGAACUGUACAGCAGGUAAAUAUACCUACCUUUCUACAUAUUUGCCAGAAUUUUAUUGCAGAAGCCCUUCCAUUAAAGCUAAGGCCUAGCACUAUGAUCAUCAGAUAUCGUCUCUUCAGAAGAUGCAUCACUAUCGAUGAUGAUUAAGUUGCCUGGUUUAUUGCCUCCACAUGAGCACUUGCUGCUUGGUUCAGCUGUUCCAAGCCUUGUUCCUGAUGUGAAGUUCGUGUAAUGGGCAUCACUAGAUGGCUGUAGAUCAUUCAUUCUUAAAUCACCAAACCUGCUAUUCAUUCUGCCCCUUGGCCCACUAUGCAGCUCGAUAGGGUUCGAAUAAUUUUGGGUAACUCGGUACAUCCCUGAAUGAGCUCCUGAUGAACCAACAGUAGGCAGAGGUGGCUCUGCCAGCCUUGGAGGAGGGGUGGUAAUCGCUUCUCUGAGCCAGUGGGGUAAGUUGCCCUUUGCUGCAAAACUAGUUGAGGGGCCAUCAGUCAAUAAAGAUUCGUCUCUUAGCAUGGCUUUGCUUUCCAUAUGGUUGAACAAACCCCUAUCAUACUUCCCUUUACAAUCUGAAAAAAGGUUUCUCCUUGGGUUUCUACCAGAUCUCUGAAGCUGUUUGGCUCCAUUUUUCUGAAUAUUGGCCGAGCUCAAUGGUGACCUCUUUGGGACAUUACCCUCCUUCUGGACAUACAAAUCUCCAAGUGAUAGUUGAGUUUCAUCCAUUAAAUUCUCUCUGUGGAUUCCUGUUCUAGGAUGCAGGAAGCCGCUGUUCCUGUUUGAAGAAACAUCUGGUGGUUUUCUGAGCUUUACUUGUGAUUCAAGCAUACCAUUCAAAAGUUUGGACUGUUCCACUUCCCACUGCUCAGCCAGGUCGCUUGCCACCCUCCAUGGUGAGAAGUGCAAUUUUGGGUCCCUUAACAUGGCAUCCCAAUUGUCCCUUCCAUGUCUCCUGACACCUAUCCAUAGAAAAUCCAACUCCUCUUCUGGCCACAGGGUAGUAUGCUGCUCAAACUUAUCAGAACAACUGCCACGGCCCUUCAAUGCUCUUGCUCUAGCUUCAAUGCUCUCAAGCAUCAAUCUGUGCCUCAACAAUGACAUCUGACUCGUUGAAGACUUGGCCGCUGCAUCUGGAAUCAUUUCCAUGGUUUUAAUGCUUAAAUUUGGCAAUGGGAAUGUGGCGGGGCAGCUCUUGGAGUCUCGUCCUGCAUUUUUAGGAUCUGUUGGCAGAGACAAACCUAGAAAGUGUGGAGAUCUGGUUGGAGUCUGUUUUGAUUGAACAGUAUCGCCUCCUAACCGAAGACUUGUUCUUUCUCUGGAACCUGGAUAGACAGUCUCCUCCAGCUGUGUACUAGCCAUGCAAACCAUAUCAAUGGUUUUGUCUUCCGAGAACAACUGCUGACAAAAUACUACAUUAUAUCUCCAAAAAAACAAUAAAUAAUAACACUUCCAUACUAAAACAAGACUAAUGAAUACCAAUAUGGUCUACCCAUUUAAGAAAGUAUCACAACAGAAUAACCAACAAAAGUGACAUCUUUGGGCUGUGAUACUACCUACCUGGAGACAUUUAUUCUUCGACAUAAUGGCCAUGGGGAACAGAGGAGAACCUUUUCCAUAAUCUUUACUGUUGGCACCAACUUCUUCCAUGGAAGUAUGUGUAUUUCCAAAAACCUGUAGAUGGUGGAUGGAUGAAGUUUCUCCAACUUUCUCAUUUAUGGUUUGCAACAAAUCCAAUGCAUGAACCGAAGGAGAAACCUGCUCUAAAACAGUAGAAUGGCUUCUGCUUGUCGAGUCCAAGGAGCCCCGAAGAGUGUCUGAUGCAGCGUGAACAAGUUGUUUUUGGGGACUUGAAUCCAAGGUAACAUUGCAGUCCAUUGUGCCACACGAGUCUGUCAUAUCAGUUAAUAGAAAAUAAUUAAGUGGAAAUGUAUGUCAAGAAUCUGCAUUUAUGGUACAAUUGGGUAAGAUGGGUUCGAACCCACAAUCUCAUUGUUGCAGCACAAAAGGUCUAACUAAGGGAGCUACUGGCUCAAACCUGAGUUGAACAUGUUUACAUGAUCUGAGUAAACAAAAAUUACCAGGAGGAACAGAUAGAUCCAAGUAGAGUAGGGAGUCUCCAUCUCUUGUAAUAUUAUCAGGUUUUGUUGUUGCUUUCAUUUGAGAUUCUUCUCCAAUGGAAGCCUGAGCUAUAGGUGACAUUGGCUGUUUAUCCUUAACUGUUGCCUCACUAUCAGGAUCUUGAUCUGCACCUUUUGAAGAGGUUUCCAAACAAUUUUUCAGGGGAUCCUCUUGGAAAUUCAUGGCAAGGUUGGAGCUCUGAUCGAGUACUUGUUCAGUUACAUGUGAGGUGUCUCCAAAUGUGCAUCCCCCAUUAGAUGAGUCUUCUCCCUUAAAUUUCACACUAAUAGAAUAAAGUAAUUGCAUGAUUAGAAUAAAUAUUAUAUUACUCAAAUAUUAUAGUCUUGACUAUAAAGGAGUUUAGUUAAUGUGAGAAUACAUCUCAAUUCCUGGAGCAAAUCCAGAAUGAGCACUUUUUGAAUCAACAUCUUCUUCAUCCUGUCACAGAACCGAUAAAAUGAUCAAUACCAAUUACAUAGACAGUGAUCCCCAUCAAAUAGGUGUCACAUUUACUUGUGGAAUGAGCUAGCCUCUUCAGAAAAAUCAAGUAUUCACAAGGUAAAGUAACAAUUCAAUAACAGUAAACGCCGAUUUAGCCAUAGCCAAAUUAGAUAGGCCCUACUCAACCAAGAAACAAAGGGUCUGUUAGGUAAUUGUUCUUGAAAACAAAAAACGGUUUCUUAAAUUAGAAAAAAAGUUUGGCAGACUUCUGAUAGAAGUUUUUUCAUAAUUUAUUCUGAAAAUAGGUUGUUUUUUAGAACAAAUUUAAAGUGUUUUCAGUUGUUUUUUGCAUAGCACACUACACAACAAUUGAAAGGAUGAAGAAUCAUCAUACAUCAGUGUACAACAACUUAAUAAAGAAUAAGCCAAGAAAAUUGUUUUUCAUAUUUCAGCUCCCAAACAGAAUUUUAUUCUUCAAAAUGAUUGAGAACUGUUUUUUGAAAACAUUGCCAAAUAGUCAAUAUAUCGUUUUCCGGCUUUAUCAUCUUACUUAGAUGAAUAGCACCAAUGACUAACCACAUAAUCGAGAUCUUACUGUAGUAUCACUUUCAAGAUCAAUACUUCACCCUUUAGAACUAACAUCAACAUUCAAAGGAAUGGAUUUCUAGAAGAAAGACAGUCGAAAAGGAAAAGACACCACUAAAAUGCUUAAAUUGUUCCAAUUUUUUAUAAUAUUUUAAAAUGUAUCCAUCUGGUUCUAUCUUGUCUGAGAUUUUUCUCUUAAAGUGCACUCCAAAACUGAUUAAGCACAUCAUUGUUUCAAAUCACAACACACCUUAGAGCCUUUUCACAUAUCUAAAAUGUUCGAACUUAAAACAUUUUUCAAUGUGCCCAAUAAACUUACAAAAGCCCAGAAAUUGACCAUCAAAAGAUUUGGAACAAAGCACUAACCUACAUAAACAGGAUAAGACAGGAACCAUUAUUAGAGGAGGAAUUUUGAGUGCUCAAGGAUAAAAAUCACCUAAAGUACUUAACAGUUCAGGGAUUUAUUAAUUAAUAGGCCAUAGUAAUUAACAAAACCCUCUGAUCAGACUGCUGAUAUAAUUUCAGAUUUUCAUUUUCCCUCAUCACAUCAAAAGAGUGACUGAUUCCUAAUGACACAUGAUAAUGGAAAUGCUGUUAUAGUUUCUGUUAUCAGUUUAAAACGAUGAGGUGAUGCAUGUCAUUCAUACUUUAUCUUAUCAGCUCAAUAGUGCCCAUUUACUACGAUGCUUGAAUACAAAGCUGGCCAUUCAAUGCCUACUUGGCUUUUAAAUGUUGUUUCUGGGAUUUGUUUUACCUACAGUCAAAGGACUUAUUCAUCAAAAAGAAUUAGAACUUGAACUGUAGCUUAAUCAGAAAUGAACCUACUAAUUUAUUAAGUCAAAAGAAUUUAAAUAAUAAUAAUAAUAGUAACCUUAACAGACUACAGAUUUUAAAGUCAAAUAUAAGAUCCUUAGAGAAGAGGUUGGAGAAGCUAAAAGAUGGUCCUUGCCACCAAGGAUGAAAAUAUCGGUUUUGACAAAUAUAUUGGUAACUUGAUUUUAUGAAUAUAUCGGAAAAUAUUUUGACACAAAAUAUAGGUAGACGAAAAUUGAUAAACAAAAAAUUAUAAAAAUGUUGAGAAAAACUCCAAAAAUGAUAAAAAUAAUAAUAAUAAUAAUACUUACAUUGAAUUGUUUUAAUAAAGAAAUUGAUAUAUAUUGAAGGAUAUAAAAGAAUGAUGAUAUAUAGACAUUUUUUUAUUGAAAAAUGCUGAUAAUUUUAUUUAUAAAUUUACAUUUUUUUUUUGUAUUUAACUAUUCUAUAAAAGAUAUAAUAAAAUAACUAAAAUUAAUUUAUAUAUAUAAAGAGAGAGAGAUAUACAAUUUUAUGUGCAUUUGUAACAAUGAAGCAAACUUGCUUAGGUGGCAAAGGCAGCUCACAUCAUUCUUUGGGUCUCUGGUUCAAAACUUGCACUUUCAUGUUUUUGGUAAUUUAUUUAAAUGGUUAGUGUACCCCAAGUGCAAUCAUGACGGAUGAAAGACUUAGGAGUCUGUGUGAUAUUGGGCCUAGGCAUGACUAAGAAUUAGGCCAAAGCCCCCUACUGGGUUUAAAUAUUUUGAGGGAAAAGUGGAUGAAAAUUGUGGCUAACAUACCCUAAGUGGAAUCAUGAUUGAUGAAAGACUUGUGUGAUAUUGGACCUAAGCAUGACUAAGAAUUAGGUUGAAGCCCAGUAUUGGGUUUAAGCAUUUUGAGGGAAAAGUGGAUGAAAAUUGUGGUUGACAUGUAAUGUUGUGGGCGAAAAAAUCGUUGAUAUAUCCAAAAUAUCAAUGCAAUAUUGAAAUUUCACCCAUAAAUCAGUGAUAAAAGGGGAAAAAUGUGAAAAAUCUCUCAUUCAAAAUUUCGAAGGUGUUUGUCAUGUCAAGGUAGCCCAACACACGAAAUAUUGAUGAUAUAUAUAUAUAUUUUAACCGAGGAACCUUUCACGAUCAAACCCUUAGAACUCUCCAUGGAGACCCAAACCUUGAGAUGUUGACCACCCCGCAACAACCAGCAUUGGUUAAAUUCAAGGUAUCAUCAAUGGCAAGAUUCAAACCCAAGACCAUGUGCCACUUGCUAGGACCACACUUCCCGAUGUUCGCCCUAACCAAUUGGGCUACCCUGAUAGGUACAAAAUAUCGAUGAUAUUUUGUUGAUAAAUCAUGAUAUUUUGCCAAUAAAUCGCGACAUUUUCAUCCAUGCUUGCCAAUAAUGGAAGGGGAUUUAGUGACAGUUCUUGGGCAGUUAAACAUAGAAGUCUAGAAAAGGAUCAUGAAGAUAUGACCAUUGAGUGAGCAGGAUUGUGGAGCUUACUCAAGUUUUGGCCUUCUCUAUCUCAACAAAUCAAGAUGCUAAAAAGCUAGCUAAGAGAAAAACAAUUUCUCUUGUUGAACUUCAUUGUGGAUCUCAUACUGCCUUUCAUUUUAAAAGACCAAUCCUUAGGUUCGAAAGCCUAGGACAUUUUUAAGGGGAGCUUUAGAUCUUGUUUGGCAAUUGUUUUUGAAAGCAGUUUUUUAUUCUCUAAAACCAAAAAAAACCAAAAAAAAUGGGAAAACACAUUUAGCAACUACAAAAUUGUUUUCUGUUUUAUGUUCUUUAAAAUAGAAAAUAAAGUGUUUUCAAAUAACAUCUUUUAUUUGGUUUCAAUUAUUUUCACUUGUUUUUUGAGAGUUAUUUUAAAAAAUAAUUAUACAAACAUGUAGAAUGAUUAAAAAGAAAGCACUAGAUAUAAAAUUAUUUUUAAAAGCAUUAAAAAUAGGUCAAAAACUUUCAAGUUCCCAAGCAAACUUUUGUUCUACAAAACAUCAUAGAACAAUUUUCAAAAAUUAUUCUAAAAAAUUGUUUUUCAGAACUGUUUUCAAAACCAAUUACCAAAUAGGGCCUUACCUUUUUUUUUUUUGGUUGUGCAUAUUUUCUUUUCCGCACUUCUCACCUUUUGUUUGUAUAUUCUUUUAUUACUCAAUAGUCAAUACAGUUACCACUACAGUCUCUUGUUACAACUGAAAAAAAAAAAAAAAAAAAUACUACAUGAUCUUUGAUUAAAAAAAUUAAAUAGUUGAGGAAAAUCCAUCCCCAUUUAUGAUGAGGAUCCCCAUAAAACACAAAAGUCAAGAAAAAAGAACUAAUCUUUAAAACUGAAAGCUUCAUAUUGUUAUUAAUUUUGCUCAUUCCAAAUAAAGAGGGCAAUAUAGAGUCACUCUCCACAUAAUCUUGUCAUCCCCAUUGCCUACAUUUGGCCAUUUAUGGUGAAUAAUAUCAAACACAGGCCAAAGGUAUCAUGCAGCUGAUCCUAAAAGAGCAAACAAAAACACUCAGAGCUCACAGAUCACUGAACUCUGAAGCAGUAAAUGAUCCACUGAUUCAGCAUCCCUUGUGCAUAUACAACACUCAUUUGUAAUAGUAGCCCAAUUCCUACUUUUCAAGGGUCCACUGUAGAUCACUAUUCUUGCUUCAUUAGAAUUUUUCUAUCAUGGGACCAUACCCAUUAUGACAUCACUUCAAAAUCUUCUUUGGAUCUUACUUCUUACCAGCUGUACCUCAAUUCUAGCAUAAUGUCCAAAACUUAUCAUUUCAAAUAAUGAUUUCAAUUUAUUCUGCUGUAUCCAAGUGAUUUGUUUUAUUAGCAAGCAAAAAAUAUAUUAACAAUGCCUAUCAAAAGAGCCCACCAUGGUACAUGGGUCAUAUACAAGGGCAUCAAAAGACAAAAAUAAAAAAGAGAAAAAUGCCGAAAACCCCUACCCUUACAAAGAGGCCAACCAAUCAACAAAGUCUACCAUAGGCAUUGUCUCUUUAGUUAAGCGCACCCUUACCCACUCCAAACAGAUACACAAGAGGGAGGAGUUUAGUGCUUGAUCCAUUUGUUCCACAUCUUCAAACAGUCCAAAAUAAGCACAAGGCAGCAGUCUUCCAUUCUUUAUUUCUCUUUCUUUUUUUUUUCUUUUUUUUUUUUUUUUUUGAUAGGCAAAAGAGCAAUAUAUUAUAAGCGUCAAAAAAGGCAACACAAAGUAUACAAGGAGGAUACAAGUGUGCAACAAAGCAAAGAACAAGAAAGAAAAACAAAAAAUACUCCCUCCCCUUACAUGCAGCUUAACCAAUCGACAAUAUCCAACAUGGACAUGGACCCAACCUCUAAGCCCCCUUUGGUCCACCCUAAAUAGUUACACAAAACAGGAUUUAAGCUCUUGAUCUAAUAACUCAACAUUUUGAAAUACUCUUCUAUUUCUCUAUUUCCAAAUGGUGUAAUACAAACAUAAAGGAGCAAUUUUCCAUGCUUUCUUCCUCUUCUUUCCAAUAAAACGACCUUGCCAACUUAAUAAUGUUGCUUUCACUAAGGAUUGCAAUACCCAAACAACUCCAAAAGAUCCAUGCCAUCUUAAGAGGGUCCCUUUAAUUGAAGAUUGCAUCACCCAAACGAAGAGAACUAGUUGCAACAAAAUUCCUUUUUUGGUGCAAUAAAGCAGGUGGUCCAUGAAUUCUUCCCCAUCUUUGCACAAAAACCAUCUAUUCACCAAAGGUCUAACCUCUCUUUUUUAACUGAUCUAUUGCAAGGAUCCUAUCCCAGGCUGCUUCACAUGUAAGGAAUCUCACUUUCAUUAACACCCCAAUUUGCUAACCCAGGUUCUUCUUUAUAGAACUGAUGUUUAAAAUAUAAGUUUGGAAUUACAACUAGUAACAACUGAAUCCUUAUUAUCACAUAACUUCAGAAAAUCUCAUUCUCCUCUAACAAUCUGUAAUCUAUACCACAACAAAUAGACCAAAUGACCCUGAAUUAGCUGAAACCUAGCUCCUGAAAUAUUGAAGUAUCAUUUUUUAAAGACAAACAAAAAAAAUAUGUUAACACCACCUAACAAAAAGCGCACCAAAGUCCAUAAGAUGUAUUGAGGUAGAACAACCCUAGAAUGGUUGUUUACAAUGAAAGAAGUGAGCUAGGAUUUCAAUCUUUUAUGGUUCAAGGAGAGUAACAAAGAAUGAAAAUCAUGGCAGAAAAGAAAAGCAUAAUAAAAUAUAGAAGGAAAAAAAAAAAGGAUAAAGAAGAGAGAAAACUUAGAAUCUCACUAAGGCCUUCUAUGUGUCUCAUCUAGAAAAAAAAAAUCAAUGGUGUUUCAAAGAAUUGUAAGGUAUGCAAAGAAAAGCUUAAUAUUAUGGAUUAUCAAUACUACAUUAAUCCCCUUUUGUGUCAAUUAGCCUUAUUUAUAAACUUUAGAAACCCUUGGAUUUGAAUAAACUGAUGAAAAAAGUAGACAUAACUUAUGUAGUGACUAAUUAGGACUCUUAAUUGUUUACUAAAACUAUUCAAUCUUCUAAAAAAAAAUAAUAAUAAAAAAAAAAAGAAACUUUUUUAGAAUUAGAGACUUAAUUUAUAAGACUUCUUGCAAUAAAAUUUCUAAUAAAGAAGACUUCUAGAAUUUAAGGACUCAAAAUAGAAACUUUAGUAUAAAAAUUUUAUUUUAGAAAAUAAAAGAUAUAGAAUUUCUUUUUAAGAAGAAUUCUAAAAAUUCCCUACAUCUAAAUAAAACUCAUAUAUUGAUAACUAACUAAUUAUGACUUUAGAGAACCUAAAAAAAUUGCAAAAUUAUCUAAAUACCCCUUGUAAAGUAAUUUAGGAUUUUUUUCAUUCUUUCAUUUCUUUCUAGAGUAGAUCUUGGAGAUUCAUCCUCAUCAUGUAUAUAAAGGACACCAAGAGCUAAAGCAAUAAAAAGGGAAAAAGGGAAAAAGGGCAUUAACAAAAAAAUAAAGCCCUUCCAUGAAGAUCCCAAUCAAUCUAUGAAAUCUAUCAUGGUUAAGGAACCCCCAUCUAUGUAUCUUCCAACCCACAACAAAAAUGAAAUAUUAGCAAAUCAUUUGAAAAACAAAUCCUAGAUAGAAAAAUGAAAUGUAGGGAACCUUCAUUUUCAAUUCCAAAGAAAGGUGGACUAAAAGAUUCAAAAGAUUUCAAACCCAUUAGCUUGGUAGUCACUAGAGGUAAGAGAUUCUGCACAUGAUCAGAGUCUUGCUAAGGUUUUGAGAGUAUGGGAGUGAGGGACUCCCAUGGAGUUCCAAAGGGAGGUAAGAGCUGGUUUGCUGUUGAAUCUAAGUCAUUCGAAAUAUCCAUUGAAGAGGUCAAAGGAAGGCUAAGAGGAACUAUCUGGGAAAGGAGUAAAGGUCUCUCCUCUUGGAUAAGAUUUGGGGAAAAAGGUUUAAGCCUUCUGUUGGAAGGUGUGGAAGCUUGGUGUAGAGGAGAGUCUAACUCGAAGCUUUUAAAAGUUUGGGAUGAAGGAGCAAGAAAAUUCAGACUAGAAUGUCGCUCUAAUGUGGCUGGGAGAUUUCUGCUCUGCUCGGUCAGAGAUGUGGAAAGGAAAAAGUUCUGUCUAGUUUUUCCUGAGGGAAGUGGCUUAGUAGGGGGAUGGUUCUUGCUGGCUAAGAAUCUGAGGGCUCUUGGGGUCUCUUCCACAGAAGAGAGGAAUAGCUACCAGAGUGUGUCAUCCAUGGGUAAGGAGGAGAGCAAUGUCAACACUUCAGAGAAAGAGUCAGGUUCGUAUGCAGAAGUAGUUAAAGGGAAGAAAGGUAUGUCAGUGGAGUCUAUGAGGGUGCACCUAGGGGAAAAGGAAAUAAUGUGCAGGGAGGAACAGCUUGGGCGUUGUCUGGUGGGUUGUUUCGGUGGUAGUCCUGUGUCUAUCCCGUCACUGCCUUCUUUGAAGAGAUGGGCGUAUGAGGUUUGGCGACUGAAAGGGGAGUUAAGAAUAUUCAGGUUGGGUGGGGCCCUGGUGCUGUUUGAGUUUCAAAACAAAUGGGAAGCUGAUAUGGUGCUUCUUAGAGGGAGCAGACAUUUUAAGGACAGAGAAUUUUUAUUGCAAAGGUGGGGACGGGUAGUGGGGUGCACUUGGAAAGAGAGCCAUACUAAGGAAGUGUGGGUAAGAGUGGUAGGACUUCCUCUUCAUCUUUGGAGUAGGGAGGUUUUCAAGCGUAUUGGAGAUUGUUGUGGGGGGUUUGUAGCUGUGGAUGAGGAAACGGCCCUCUUCUCUCAGCUGCAGUGGGCUCGGAUUUUGGUUAAAGACUCGGGAAUGAAAUGGCCUGGAUCGAUGGAGGUGGAGGCGGGUAACUCUAGAUGGGAGAUUUGCUUGUGGUGGGAAGCCAUACCGCGGGUGUUGCAGGCUGGGUUAGGCUCUAGGAUGCAGAGGAGAAGUGAGUGGGAGGUUAGGGAUGAAGGUGGGGGAGCCUCACGCGCUGAAUCUAGAGUACGGGAGCCCAAAGCUGAUUUUCAAAAAAGGGAGGCUGAAGUGAAGGUGGCGUGUGGCAGUGUAAGUGGGAAGGCUGGCAGAGAAUGGGGCAGGAAGGUUGUUGACCCUACAGUGGGCUGUUCAGGGAGUGGGCCUGGGCCCAAGACUGGCAGUGGGGCUUUUUUAAAGGGAGAGGGAGGGCCGUUUUCAAAGGAAGUCAUGGGUUGGGCUGAGGGCCCGUCUCACUUUUGCCCCAAUUUGUCGGGCUGGACUAAGGGGCUUGAGGAGCCUUGUGGGCUUUUUAAGCCUGAGGCCCAUUUGGACCUUUUAAGGGAGCCCGUCCCUUCUAGGGCUUCCCCCGAGUCUGUCGGGACCCUUGCGGAGCUGGAGUAGGAGCUUUUGGUCGUGAGUUGCGCCGGCGACAUGGAGCCAUCCCUCGGCCAUCGGAAGCCCACUGAUGACGAGCUUUUGAACGAGGCUUCCAGGUACCCCCGUAACCUCAAAUUCCCUAAUUUCUCUUUGGGGUGUGGGGUUUCUUCUCUUUCUCCUCCUUUCUUGGGGUCGGAUGGUGCUGUGGUGGGGAAGGUGGGGGGGAUCAGUGGUAUGUUUGGGGCCGUGGAAGAAGAAAGGAGCAGGGACUCUACGCGUGAAGAGUGGCUGGCAGACCUCUCGGUCCACGAAGAUGGGAACAUGUCUCCGCGAGCGUCGGGUGAUGAGGCAAGGGGGCCCGAUUUAGCCAUUGUUCCUUUUGGAGGGGUUUUAGAAAGCCCAUUAGUGGAGACGAUGGCCCUUCAGGUGGAAGUGGGGGACGGAGAGGAAGAAUGGAGCUCCAGCUGCCUUGCAAAAUUUAGUCACUGCUUGGGCAUGCCAACAGUUGGGUUUGAGGAGGAAAUCCUAUACCUGUUGAGGAGAAUGAGGGGGAGAAUUGAAAAGAAAAAUCAGGGCAGGGAGAAUAAAAAGACAAAGUCUUCGGUCACAAAAUCCAGCAGGGAAUUAAAGAAGCUGGAAUGGACAGUAAGCUAUAAAAGGGCUAAGUUGGCUUCCAAUGAAGGCAAGUUUGAAGGGGCUUCAGGAUCAGGGAUUAAAUGAAGAUAAAGAUAUUAUCUUGGAAUGUUAGAGGGGCAAAUGAUAAUGAAAAGAGGAAAAUCAUUAAGUCUGUAAUAAAAUCCAACAAGGUGGACGUGGUGUGCUUGCAGGAGACCAAAAUCAAGGAUAUGAGUAUGGGGAUUGUUCGUAGUCUUGGGGUGGGAAGACAUAUUGACUGGAGAGCAAUUAACUCUAAGGGGGCAGCUGGAGGUGUUCUGGUGUUUUGGGACAACAGAGUGGUUGAUCUGUUGGAGGUGGAAGAAGGGAUAUUUUCAGUGUCUUGUCUGUUCAAGAAUUGUAUGGAUGGGAUGAGGUGGGUAUUCACUGGAGUUUAUGGGCCGGUGUGCAGAAGGGAUAGAGAGGUUUUUUGGGAGGAGCUUGGGUCAAUAAAAGGGUUAUGGAGUGAUCCUUGGUGUGUGGGGGGAGACUUUAACAUGAUCAGAUACCCGGAAGAGCGUAGGAGGGGGGGUGAGUUAUCUGCUUCAAUGAGGAGAUUUACUGAAGUGGUAGAGGAUUUGGAGCUAAGGGACUACCCCUUACAGGGGGGUCUCUUUACUUGGCGAGGGGGGUUAAACAACCAGUUUCAAUCUAGGCUCGACAGGUUCUUAGUUACAGAUGAGUGGGAUAGAAUGUUCAAUGGAGCCAAGCAGGGGAUUCUUGCUAGACCAGUCUCUGAUCAUUUUCCUAUCCUAUUGGAGGGUGGAGGUUUGAAGAGGGGUCCAUCACCAUUCAGAUUUGAGAAUAUGUGGUUGGAGGAAAGGGGGUUCAUGGAUCAGUUGAAGAGGUGGUGGGGCAGCUUAUAUUUUACUGGGUCUUUUAGCUUUGUCCUGGAUGCAAAAUUAAGAGCAUUGAAAGGGCUUUUAAAGACUUGGAACAAAGAAGUUUUUGGGGCAAUUGAGACUAAGAAGAGAGAAGCUCUUAACCAGGUGGCGCACUGGGAUGCAGUGGAGAAUCAUUCAACUCUGAGUCUGGAGGAUUGUGAAGCAAGGAAGGAGGCUAAGGAGGCUUAUAAGACAUGGGUGUUGAGGGAAGAAAUUUCUUGGAGACAGAGAUCAAGGGAAUUGUGGUUGAAGGAGGGGGACAACAAUACCAAAUUCUUUCAUAGGAUGGCGAACGCGCAUAGCAGAAGGAACUGGUUGUCAAGGCUGAAAGUGGAUGAUUGUUGGCAUACGGAGGAGUUAGAUUUAAAAAAUAGUGUGGUGGGUGCUUUUAAUAAUCUGUACACUGAAGAAGGAGGAUGGCGCCCUGGUGUUGAGGGGCUGCCCUUCUUGAGAUUAGACAGUUGUGAGGCUGUGGGGCUGGAAAUCCCCUUUACGGAAGGGGAGGUGUACGUGGCUCUUUCAGAUCUAGGCAAGGAUAAAGCCCCCGGCCCGGAUGGCUUCACCAUGGCCUUCUGGUCGUUCAGUUGGGAUUUAGUAAAGGCUGAAAUAAUGGGAUUCUUCAAGGAAUUUUAUGAGAGGGGCAAAUUUGUAAAAUCUCUUAAUGCAACUUUCCUUGUACUAGUCCCAAAGAGGGGAGGAGCUGAAGAUUUGAAAGAUUUCAGGCCCAUCAGCCUUGUAGGCAACCUCUACAAGUUGCUGGUCAAGGUGUUGGCCAAUAGAAUUAAAAAGGUGAUGGGGAAAGUGAUCUCAGAGUCUCAAAAUGCCUUUGUGGAGGGUAGACAGAUUUUGGAUGCAGUGCUGAUCGCAAACGAGGCUGUGGACUCAAGGUUGAAAGACAAUGUGGGAGGGGUGUUAUGCAAGUUGGAUAUAGAGAAGGCUUAUGACCGUGUUAGCUGGAGUUUUUUGUUGGCGGUUCUUAAAGAGAUGGGGUUUGGAGAGAGAUGGAUAAAGUGGAUUGAUUGGUGCAUUUCCACAGUGAAAUUUUCCGUGUUAGUUAAUGGGUCUCCAUCCGGUUUUUUCCAAAGUUCGAGGAGGCUAAGACAAGGUGAUCCCCUCUCCCCUUAUUUGUUUGUGAUCGCCAUGGAGGUUUUUAGUAGUAUGAUGAGAAGGGCUAUUAGUGGGGGCUACUUAUCUGGGUGGAAAGUGAGUGGUGGGAGGGAUGAGGGGAUGCAUAUAUCACAUUUGUUGUUUGCUGAUGAUAUGAAGAAUUUCUGAACUCCUUUAUUGAUUCAAUUCGGUACACACCAUACACAUAUAUAUACACCAAUGACUGAAUAAGAAAAAAUCAAUCUAGCUUAAUUCUCUCCUAAAAUUAGGAAACUGAAUCAUAAGGAAAUAUCCUAAAUGAUCUCUCCUUUUUUAUUCCUAAAAUACUAUCCUAAAUUAAAACACCUAACUUUGGCAUUAUUUCAACACUCCCCCUCAAGCUGGAGAAUAUAUAUCAUAUAAUCCCAGCUUGCAAGUUAAGUCUUCGAAGUUAGGCCUAGGUAAAGCUUUGGUGAGGAUGUCCGCGGUUUGGUGCUUGGUAGGAACAUAGUUCAAUUUAACCGUCUCACUAGUCACCUUCUCUGUGAUGAAGUGUCUGUCAAUCUCAACAUGCUUGGUCCUGUCAUGAUGCACGGGGUUCUUUGCUAUGCUUAUAGCUGCCUGAUUAUCACACAUCAUCAGAAUUGGAGAUGAACUCGUUUGUCCCAGUUCACUAAGAACCCUUUUUAUCCAAAUCCCUUCACAGAUUCCCUGUGCAAGAGCUCUAUACUCAGCUUCUGCACUACUUCUGGCUACAACUGAUUGCUUCUUACUCCUCCAGGUAACAAGAUUUCCCCAGACAAAAGAACAAUAUCCAGAAGUGGACCGCCUGUCAAUGAUGUUUCCUGCCCAAUCCGCAUCUGAGUAUACUUCAGUGUCACGGUUCUCUGUCUUUCUGAAGAAUAGACCUUUUCCUGGUGUCAUUUUUAAAUAUCUAAGAAUCCUGUAGACUGCUUCCAUGUGUUCCUCAGUGGGGCUGUGCAUGAAUUGACUUACAGCACUCACUGCAAAGCCAAUAUCUGGCCGAGUAUGUGAGAGAUAAAUCAAGCGCCCGACAAGUCGCUGAUAUCUCCCCCUGUCUACCGGUGUACUUUCUUUCUCGAUACCAAGUUUCUUCUGACUAUCCAUAGGAGUAUCAAUUGGUUUGCAUCCAAGCAUACCGGUCUCCUUAAGAAGAUCGAGUAUGUAUUUUCUUUGAGAGACUACAAUUCCCUUCCUUGAUCUAGCCACUUCCAUACCAAGGAAAUAUUUCAAAUUUCCAAGGUCUUUAACUUCAAACUCUUCUGACAAAUACUUCUUCAAAUUCUGUAAUUCCUCCAUAUCAUUCCCAGAUAGAAUAAUAUCAUCGACAUAGACUAUCAAUAUGGCCAUUUUCCCGGUAUGAGACUUCUUGACAAAUAGAGUAUGAUCAGCCUGACCUUGUUUGUAGCCCAGCUUCAGGACUGCUUUUGUGAAUCUAUCAAACCAGGCUCGGGGAGAUUGUUUAAGGCCGUACAAGGAUUUUUGGAGUUUGCAAACCUGAUUCUUUGCCAUACUUUCUUCGAAACCAGGUGGUAUUUCCAUGUAGACUUCCUCUUCUAGGUCAUCAUUUAGAAACGCAUUUUUUAUGUCCAGUUGUUGCAAGCACCAAUCUUGAUUGACAGCCAAUGAGAGAAGAAUCCUGAUAGUGUUCAGUUUUGCAACAGGAGCAAAAGUCUCCUGAUAGUCUAUCCCAUAGGAUUGUGUAAACCCUCUAGCUACCAAACGAGCCUUGAAUCUCUCGACUGAUCCAUCUGCUUUGUAUUUUAUGGUGAAAAUCCACUUGCACCCCACAGGCCUCUUCCCAACCGGCAAAUCUGUGAUAGUCCACGUCUCAUUCUUCUCAAGUGCAUCAAUCUCAUCUUGUACUGCCUUCUUCCAUUCUGAAAUUUUUAAUGCCUCUUGUAUUGUGUUGGGAACCUGGGUAUCAUCAAGAGAAGUAGCAAAUGCUCUAUAAGAUGGUGAUACCCCUUCAUACGUAACAUAAUUUCCAAUUAGAUGAUCUGUACAUCUCCUAACACCCUUCCUCAAUGCAAUCGGCAGAGUAGAAUCAUCAAUGCUAGGAAUUAACACCUCUCCAGCCCUAUCCUCACCUAUGUUCUCUUCAGGAAGACUUGAAUUGGAGUCAAUAUAUUGGCCACAUGUUGACUGUGAUCCGUGCUCUAAUUCCUGUCUUUUCCUCCUCCUGAUGUAAACUUGUAAGUUCUCAUUAGCAAGUUGUGAGGCUGUAGGUUGAAUAGGCAUGGGAGACUGGAUGGUCACGGGAGAAGGAACAUUUGUGUGCUUGGCUGGCUGGACUGAUGACGGCAUGGGUGUGGACAACUCAGUGGGCGGGAAUUGGGAAGGAUUUGGUGACUCUGAGUGAACAGAAGGUACACCCUCAAGACGAGACUCCCAAACUUGAUGUUCAUUCAUGCUCUCCCCCUGAACAUGAAAUUUGGGAUAGAAGAAGACAUGUUCAAAGAAAGAGACGUCCAUGGUGGUGUAAAAUCUUUUGUUGGUUGGAGAAUAGCAUUUGUACCCUUUUUGGGUUGGAGAAUACCCUAGGAAAAUGCACUUAUUUGCUCGAGGAGCAAAUUUGCUACGAUUUUGAGGAUACACAUGAACGAAUGCCGUGCAACCAAAUACUUUGAGUGGUAAAUCAGAAGAGGCGACACGGGUGUGAGGAAAUUGUUUUAAGAAAAGUUGACGUGGGGAUUGAAAGGUAAGCACUCUGGAUGGCAUACGGUUAAUCAAAUAGGUAGCUGUGAGAAUAGCUUCCCCCCAGAAAUAGUUUGGAACAUUAGAGGAAAACAUAAGGCACCGGGCAACCUCCAAGAGAUGUCUAUUCUUGCGUUCAGCCACCCCAUUUUGUUGUGGGGUGUCAACGCAAGAACUUAUGUGGAUAAUGCCAUGAUUUUGAAGAUAAGUACUGAGACUACAAGUAAAGUAUUCCUUUGCAUUAUCUGACUUGAGGACUUGAAUUUUGGAAUUGAAUUGGUUUUGAACCAUAAGAUUGAAGGUUUGAAAAAUGUGCCCAACCUCUGACUUUUCUUUCAUAAGGAAAACCCAUGUUACCCGAGUAUGAUCAUCAACGAAUGUCACAAACCAUCGAGUGCCAGAAAUAUUUUUUAUCCGGGAGGGACCCCACACAUCACUAUGAACUAGAGAGAAAACAGUCGAAGGUUUGUAUGGGAUUUGAGGAUAUACUGUUCGAGUAUGCUUUGCAAACUGACAAAUUUCACAGUGAUAAGAUGCUGGAUUUUUAUUGAUAAAUAAUUUGGGAAACAAUUUUGCAAGGUAAACAAAGCUGGGAUGACCAAGGCGAUAGUGUAACAUUAUAAUCUCACUAUCUUUAUUGACCUUAGAAUUUGACACAGAAUUGAAAGACUCUAACAUACUCUGAGACUGUACGCAACUUGCUUGAGAGACUUGGUUUGAGAAUUGGCCACAUGAGAGGAGGUAGAGCCCGGAACACAGUUCAGCACUGCCAAUCAUCUUCCCCGAUUUCAAGUCCUGAAAAACACACGAGUUUGGAUAGAAUUUAGUAACACAUUGGAGAUCACGAGCCAAUUUGCUAAUGGACAAAAGAUUACAAUCCAAGUUUGGAACAUGGAAGACAGAGUCAAGAAAUAAGUCUUUAGUAAGUUUUAUAGAACCUGUCCCGGCAAUUUUUGACUUUGAACCAUCAGCAAUAUGGACGAAUGAAUGACCAUUACUUGGCUUGUAAUUUUGAAGAAUGGCAGCAUCUCCUGUCAUGUGAUCAGAAGCACCUGUGUCCACUAUCCACGGCUUCAUUCUUCCUUGACUAGCAGUGAGGGCUAUCCCGGUAGUACUGCCACUGCCAACUUGGCUCAAUAGUUUCUGUAGCAUCUCCAUCUGCUCUUUAUUGAAUGGACUCGGCUCGGGAACAGAUGUGCUCUCAGAGUUGGCAGCCACGUGUGCUCUGCCAUCUCUGUCAGACCGUGGCUUUGGUUUCCAAUCAGCCGGUUUGCCAUGAAGCUUCCAGCAAGCCUCCUUAUAAUGGCCUGGUUUCUUACAAUAAUCACACCAAGGCCUAUCUCGUUUCUGACGAUCUCCACCAUUACUAUUAAAUGACCGAGCAGCAAGGGCAGAGCCAUCCAAUGUUGGGGCAGGUUGCUCUUUGGAUCCCAUCAUCACUUUCUUUCUACUUUCUUCACGCCUAACCUCUGAAAAAGCCUCCCUGAGACUUGGAAGGGGUUUAAUGCCCAUGAUUCGGCCUCUAACAUCAUCCAAUUCCCUGUUUAGUCCUAGGAAGAACUUGAACAGUCUCUUUUGUUCCACAAUUUGCCUGUAUGUUGCUGCAUCAUCCGAACAUUUCCAUGAGUGAGUCUCGAAUAAGUCAAGUUGCUGCCAAUACCUUGUGAGUGUGUUGUAAUACUGAGUAACUGACUGCUCUCUUGGCGGAGUCAUGUACGGCUGAUUCCACCUGAAAAAGUCUGAGUAUUUUCAGACUUGAGUAGUUCUUGGCUGCAUCCCCCAUAUGUCCUUUGCAGUCCCAAACAGCAAGAAAUUUUCUCCUAUGUCAUUGUUCAUGGAAUUGAUAAGCCAUGACAUGAUCAUGCUGUUUUCAAUCUUCCACUUUCUGAACCCGGGUUCGUAGGUUUCUAGCAUGGCUGCUUCUUCAGUGAGGUACUCAUCUUUCCUUUACCGCAAAUGAACAGCAACACAGAUUGUGACCACUGUAAAUAGUUAUGGCCCAUUUAAUUUGUGUCCUGUGAUGAGAAUAGGAGAUGAAUCAUUGCCACCAAGGUUUGGAAUUUCAAAUCUGCCCCCUGAUUCUGGUGACGUGACGCUGGAUACUUGUGAUGAUGCCAUUCCAUAUUUUGUCAUGGACCGGAAAGGUAGAAGAACACUUCCCAAGGCACGUGCAGGGAUUGGAGUUGAGAAAAAAAUAGCCGGAGGACGCCGGAAAAACUGAUCGAAGUGCCCACGGAAGCAAAAGAACCCCAAAAGAGGCACGUGCAGGGCUCGGAUGGCAAAACAGGUAAGAAGGGUGGCUGGUCGGUGUCAGACGAGCUUGGAGGAGGAAGCGCGUCGCCGGAAAGUGGCUCACGCGCCCUCACGCGCCGGCGCGUGAGUUGCAGUCGCCGGCCGGAAAAAGCGCGCGUGGACGGCGCGUGGAUGGGUUUCUGGUUCCGGUGAUUUGGGACAAAUUGGAGAUCUCCUCCAGGCGCUCCUUGCGGUGUAGAAAAAAACCGUUGCCAGAAAGUUCGCCGGAAGUUGGCCGGAAAAGUUGCCGGCGGUGAAUGUUUUCUGACGACGAUUAGACCGACCGGAAAGUGUUUUCUCCCUUGACUCUGAGAAUAGGGACUGAUGACCGGAAUGAGAGAUGGCCAGAGAGAGAGAUGGUCGGAAUGAGAGAUGGCCAGAGAGAUUUGGCCGGAAGGGAUUAGGGUUUCAGAAAACUGGCUCUGAUACCAUGAAGAAUUUCUGAACUCCUUUAUUGAUUCAAUUCGGUACACACCAUACACAUAUAUAUACACCAAUGACUGAAUAAGAAAAAAUCAAUCUAGCUUAAUUCUCUCCUAAAAUUAGGAAACUGAAUCAUAAGGAAAUAUCCUAAAUGAUCUCUCCUUUUUUAUUCCUAAAAUACUAUCCUAAAUUAAAACACCUAACUUUGGCAUUAUUUCAACAGAUACGUUGGUUUUUUGUGAGGACUCUUCAGACGAGAUGACUUAUCUAAGUUGGCUUCUCAUGUGGUUUGAGGCGUGUUCGGGUUUGAGGAUUAACUUAGAGAAGAGUGAGAUGAUCCCGGUUGGUAGGGUGCGAAAUAUAGAGGGUUUGGCUCUGGAGUUGGGGUGUAAAGUGGGAGGGAUUCCUUCUAGUUAUUUGGGAAUGCCCCUAGGGGCAGCUUUCAACUCUUUGGCGGUGUGGGAUGGGGUUGAAGAGCGCUUUCGUAGAAGGCUUGCUAUGUGGAAGAGGCAGCACAUAUCUAAAGGGGGUAGACUCACCUUAAUCAGAAGCACUAUGUCCAGUAUGCCUAUUUAUUUGAUGUCUCUCUUUCAUUUGCCUAGAAAAGUAAGGUUGAGAUUGGAGAAAAUUCAAAGGGAUUUUCUGUGGGGUGGGGGAACUUUAGCCCAUAAACCUCACCUUGUAAGAUGGAACUUGGUAUGUUUGGAGAAAAGAAAAGGUGGUCUAGGGGUGAGAAAUUUAUCUUUGAUGAAUAACGCCCUUUUGUAUAAGUGGAAUUGGAGGUUUGCUAAUGAGAGAGAUGCGUUGUGGAGAAGUGUAAUUAGCCUUAAGUAUGGCAUAGAGGAGGGGGGCUGGUGUACUCGGGAUGUGAUGGGAAGAAAUGGAGUUGGGCUUUGGAAAGCAAUUAGGAAGAAGUGGGGGUUGUUUGAUGGCAGGGUAGCUUUCCAUUUGGGUAAUGGGCAAAGAGUGAAAUUUUGGAAAGACAAGUGGUGCGGUGAUGGGCCUCUUUGUGAGUCCUUCCCAUCUCUUUUUUCCAUGUCCAUGUCGAAGAAUGCUUGGGUUUCGGAGGUGUGGAAUCUGGUUGGUGAUGGGAUUGGUUGGACUCCUCUCUUUGCAAGGGCGUUUAACGAUUGGGAGAUUGAUUUGGUGGAGCGGUUGUUGCAGAAGAUCCAAGCUUUCAGGGUUCAAAGGGAGGAGGAAGAUAGAGUGAUAUGGACAGCUUCAAAGGAUGGGGCUUUCUCAGUUAGAUCCCUUUAUUCUAUGAUGGAGCCGGGGGGUCUUUCUUUGUUCCCUAGUGAAAGAAUUUGGAGGACAAGAGUGCCUCCCAAGGUAGCUUUCUUUGCUUGGGAGGCUUCUUGGGGUAAAGUUUUAACACAGGAGCAACUUCAAAGGAGGGGGUUCUCUUUGGCAAACAGGUGCUUUCUCUGUUUAUCUGAAGAAGAAACAGUGGAUCAUCUCCUACUGCAUUGUGUCAAGACGCGGGUCCUAUGGAACCUCCUUUUCUCUCUUUUUGGUAUAUCUUGGACUCUCUCGUGUACAGUGAAGACAACCCUUCUUGGGUGGAAUGGAGGGUUUGUGGGAAAAAGACGCAAGAAGGCUUGGCAAAUGGCGCCGUUAUGUAUUUUUUGGUCAGUUUGGAAGGAGAGAAAUAGGUUAGCGUUUGGGGAUGAGGACCUUUCGCUUCAAAGGUUGAAAUAUUCUUUUGUAUGUAAUCUUUGGUUUUGGGUCAAGGGUUCCCUAGCAGAGAGUCAUUCUUCUCUUGUAAGUUUUGUAGACUGGAUAGGUUCCUAGUUAGGAAAGGUGGUGCGUAUACUCCCUGUAUACUUAGAGGGCACCGGUUUUUGGUGUUUCCUCUUUUCGAUUAAUAUACUUCUUUUACUUAUCAAAAAAAAAAUAUAUUCAAGAAAGUAGUAGGUAAAGUGAUAUCCAAGCCUUAGAAUACCUUUGUGAAAUGUAGACAAUUGUAGAAGAGGUACUUAGUGAAAAUGAGGCUAUUCUUUCAAGAUUAAAGAGUUCCAUUGAUGGUGUGAUCUAUAAGCUAGAUUAAGAAGGCCAUGACCAUGUCAAGUAGGGCUUCCACUUAGCAAUCUAUUGCAAGAUGGGUUUUGGUUAAAAGUGAAUUGGUUAGUCAAGUGGUGCAUCACUAUCACAAUAUUCUCUAUUUUGAUGAAUGGAAGCCUUAUUGGUUUCUUUUUUAUUUCAAAGAGUCUAAGGCAGCAAGGUCCUCUCUCUCCUUAUUUGUUCAUUUUGAUGAUGGAGGCCUUCAAUAAUUCAAUUGCCUCUUGAAAAGGGCUAGGGAGGAAGGAUUCAUCUUAAGCUUUAAGGUGCAAGGGAUAGGUGGAAAGGGGGUGGAUGUGUUCCACCUUUUGUUCGUACACAAUUCCAUUAUCUUUUGUGGUGCAUGCUAAGAGUAACUAAUAUAUAUGAGCCAAAUCCUAUGUGGUUUAAGGCAAUUUUUGGGCUGAAAAUUAAUAUGGAGAAGAGUGAGCUAAUCCUAGUGGGAAGGAUGCCUAAUUGUGAGGAAUUGGCUUCUUUAUUAGGGUGCAAUGUGGGCAGCUUCCCUCCAUCUAUUUGGGUCCUUCUUAAGCUACUUCCUGAAAGUCAUCAAUGGUUUGAGACGUGGUAAAAGAAAGAUUCUUAAGAAGUUGGCUUUGCAUAGUUAAAAUUUGUGGUAUGGGUCAUUGACUUGGGUUGUCUUGAGGUACAUCGAUAUUGGGCAAUACAUAAAAUAUCCUAGUUUAAAAGCUUAAGAAUUCUAAAAAAAUUAUAAAAAUUAUCAUAAAUAUAAAUACAAUUAAAUAGAUUAAAAUUAAUAAAAUAAACUUCUAUUAUAUAUAACAUUAUUUAAAUAGUGAUAACUGAUAAAAACAUGCCUUUGAAAUGAUUUAUAAUAAUAUUACGAAUUUAAACUUUUUUAUUUAAUUACCUCAUAACAAAUAUUUUUUAUUUCAAAAAGAUGAAAAUGAUAAAAAGGAAUGCAUUUUUUAACAAAUUUAUUUAAAUUAAAUAUUUCAAAAAUUAAAAAUAUUUUCAGGUAUUAAAAAAUAAACAUCAUUUUUCCCAUCAAAUAUAUUCUAAAGAAAUUAUAAAAAAAUAAGAAUUUUUAUUUGAAUGAGCAUAUUUAAAAAAUAAAUAUGUUUUUUUAAUACCUCUAUCCAUUAAUUUCCAAUAUUUAUAUUAAUAUCAAUAUCCUACUUAUUUUAUAUAAACCCAAAUAUCUAUUAUUCAAUUCAUGUAAUCCCAAUUUCCAUCAAAUUCCCAUCAUCCAUUUACAUACUAAUACCAAUUAAAUACUCCUUAUCCAUUUAAAGAAACAUAACCAUAAUAUAUUCAUUUAAACCCAUAUACCAAUAUACCCAAUCAAACGCCUUUAUCCUUCCAUGUACAAAACCCAUACCCAUUUCACCUCUCAAUAGACAACUCCAUGUUUCUUCUCCAAGAUUUUAUAUAUAUAUGGGUAAAUAAUUAUUGUAUUAUCAAAUGUUUCUUCUCCAAGCUUUGAAGGCUCUAAACUAAACAAUGUGAGGAUGCAAAAACUAAGUCUGAAGGAUGAAGAUGCAAACAAAAGGUCCCAACUCUCCUUCUAAAGUUCUUCAUUUUGUGGAUUUUAAUUUUAUCCUCUUCUCCAGUCUUUGCUCUCUAACAUCAUUGUUUUCUCCAUCACCUGUCACCCGAAUAGCUCAAUAUCAGCAAGAUCUCAAAGUCAUCUUGGAAUUGCUCAAUGAUUCACACCGAGACUACCAAGUCAUACCAAAGUUGGUCGAGAUUUUGAACCUUGUCACUUUGUGGAAGAGGCAAUAUUUUUUAAAGAGUAGGAAACUUAAUCUAAUUAAGCAUACCCCAUCAAGCUUCCUAAUUUACUUCAUAUCCUCAUUUGUUAUUCCAAGGAAGAUACAUUUGAGACUUCAAAAAAUUCAAAGAGACUUUCUUUGGGGGAAGGGGAUCCUGUGAAAACAAAACCUCACUUUGUGAAUUGGUCUAUUCUAUGUAUGUCCAAGAAAAAGGGUGUAUUGAGCAUUAGAGACUUAUUUAUCCUUAACAAGAGCCUUCUUAACACGUGGUAUUGAAGGUUUGCCUCAAAAAGGGAGUCUUCGUGGAAGUAGGGUCAUCAUUAUGAAGUUUAGGGAAGAAAUAUGCAACUAGUGUUCUAAUGUCAAGAGGGAUGGGUACGUGGUAAGGUUGUGGAAAGUUAUGAGGAUGGGAUGACUUCAAGAGUAGAACUUGCAUUGUAGUGGCCAAUGGCAGGAGAGUAAAGUUCUAGAAUGACAUUCAAUAUGGUGAUUCAACAUUCAGUGCAACCUUUCCAUCACUUUUUGCAUUACCUCUACAAAGUAUGCUUGAGCUGAGGAGACGUGGGAUGAGGUCUCCAUUGAGGGCUUCUUUUUUUUUUUUUUUUGAUGGGAAACGACAAAAGAGAUAUAUUGAUAGCAAAAAAAAGUACAAGAGAAGGAUGAGGAAUCCUCCCACCAAAGAAAAUCUAAACUACAAGAAUACAAAAACAAGAAUAUACAAUGUAAAAAUAAACAAACUCUCUGGGUUAGUCUCCAUUGAGGGCUUUGGAGACCUCGUCUCUUAAGUUGCCUCCAUGAUUGGGAGCUAGCUAGUGCAAAAGCUUUCCUUUUAAGGUUUCAAGAGAAGUCAAUGGGGAGGGAAGCAGAGGCUAGGCUCUUUUUGUUUGCAUGGGUAGUUACUUAGGGGAAGAUGACUUCAAAUUAAUUUAAAAGAUGUUGGGCUUUGGCAAAUAGAUGUUAUCUAUACAAGAGUGAAGAAGAAUCACACUCUUCUUUAUUGCACUAUAACAAGGACUUUGUGACAAUUGAAUUUUUCUUUGUUUAGCGUAGAAUGGGUUGCUGCCUUCUACACUUACGAGACUUUUAAGUUGGCAAGGGAUUUUUAUGGGAAAGAAAAGAAGAAAUGCAUGGAGGGCUGCUCCUUUAUGCUUUUUUUGGGCCAUUUGGAAGGAGAAAAAUUGCAAAUCAUUUGAAAAUAUAGAGCAAUUGGAUCAGGCUUUCAAAAGCUUGUUCUUGUGUUCCCUUUUCUUUGAGGAUUUAAUUUCUAUACUAGAUUUUACUCAUUGAUGAGGAGCUGCAAGACAUGAGGGGGUGUUCUUUUGUCUCUCAUGCCAUUUGGUAGUCUUUGUAUACUUCCCAUAUACCUUAGUGUACCACUUUUUGUUAGGCACUGUUAAUACAUUUUUUUUUAUUUUCUAUAUGAGCAUUUGCUAUGGUUUUCUUUUCUUCCUAAACUUCUUCCCAGAAACUCAAUAGUGCUUGCUUGAAUACUGAAGUCACUAGAUACUCCCAUUAGCAAUGUCCUCGUCCUAGUCUCCUCUGUUUGCUUUUAAGCCACGAAAACGAAAUAAAUAUGUAAUACUAAACAGUACUGUACAAAACAUAGCAUGCAAAUAGAGCAAACAAAAAAAAAAGUAAAAGGAUUUUUUUUUAAAGAGUAUGAAUCUUGUGUAAGGUAAAUUCCAUAGCCUAUCACAAACUAAUAAAGACAUGCCAUAAAUUUAAUUAGAAUGUCUUUUGUUUUCUUCUUAUCAAGUGACAAAAGAUUAACUGCACAAUUUCAGUAACCUGCCCAGAAACCUUUCAAGAGAAGGAAAGAAACAUACUUGGUCAUGAGUGUGACAAGAUAAAUGCUUCAUAUUGGUGUUGGGACCCUCCCCUGGUAGCUUCAAAUCUGCUGAAUGAGCUACUGAAAAUCCUUUCUGUGAAGUUGCUUCAGACAAACAGGGAAUACCAUAUGAAGAGUCAUUCAAUUUGGUAAUUAAUGAACUUUUCUGCCCAACCAGAAACUUUCUUUCUGCAUUUGUACUAUCCACAUCCCUUUUCCUUUUGGAUCUUCGACUGAAAGUAAGCAAUGGGGUGGUUACCUUGGCUUGUGUAAGUGAAUCAACAAAUACUUUACUAGACUUAUCUUUAGCUUGUGAAUCAGAGCCUUCCAUAUUUAAUGUUUUUGAUGCAGCUGUGACUGCACAGCCAUAGCUGCACUUCCUUCCAUAGGAGGAUUUUAAGCCAAGGGUUUCCAAAUUCUUUUCAGAGUUCAUCCCAACAGAGCAAGAAAGUAAAUUCCCUUCAGCAAAUCCAUCAUUGCAUGCAGAGCCAGAGUUCACAUAUGAACACGAGCCUCUCUGAAUGUGACUGAACUUCUUAACAAAAGAUAGAUCUGUAGGUAAUGAUUCUACCAUAUCCUUUCUAGAGGUACCCUUGCCUGGACUCCUUAUUAGAGCCAAUUUAUGAGAGUCACAUGUCACCUCUCUUGUAUCAGAACCUUCUACCUGUUUCUUAGCCUUAUUCCUACCAGAUUCUUGGACAAGCUGUGAUGUUGAAGAAUCAUGCUCUUUUAUGCAACUGGAACACAACCUUUUCCCAUGUUGCAUAUGCUGAGAGAGGAGAUCAUCAUAUUAUCACAUCAUCAACUAAAUAUAAAUGCCAAAAAGAGUAUGUUCUUCACUUCUAUUAAAAUUUGGGGUACCUUGAGGGAGGAAUUAAGGCAUUGAAGAUGAUUUGAUUGAAGACAGCUAUCACACUGCAGCGUGUUGUCCCCAACACCACAAACAACACAUUCAAGCCAUAUCUGCAUGUAAGGUUGAACAAUGAGCAGAAAUAGGGGAAAUAACUAGGAAUUUUACAGGCAUGUAGAAGUUGUCAAAAAAGAAAAUCAGAAGAUGCAUCUUGACAAAAGUUAAACUCAUAAUCAAAACAACAAAAGAUUGCAAUCAACUUUUUUUAAAGGGAUUUCAAUCAUUUAUUUGAAUGCUGAUAUUUGAUGAGCCUGAUUAAAGUAACCUCAAUUUUAUGCCAAUGCUAAAUUAGACAAAAAGAAAAGCAAAAUACAGAAUGUAAAGCAUGGCAAGAAAACUGAUAAGGGUACAUGUCGCAUGCACAUAUAAAAGACAAAAUAAAGCCAAUUGCCUAUGCAAAAUUCCCAAAGCCUAUGAAAAAUGAAUGCUUGGAAACCCUGUCAAAUUGAGCACCAAAGCUCAAGUUCCCAUUGCAUUGAAAGAGACCCAUUAAACUGCUAAAUUCUUAAAGAAAGAUUUUUCUCCAACGGACACAGAUACUGACAAUUAUUUAAUAUCUGUUGAGAGAGAGAGAGAGAAAGGAGAAAAACCUUAUUCACAUUCAUUGUAAUCUCUACUUACAAUUGAGAGAUAUAUAUAUACAAGGCUAGGAGUCCUAACUACCAUACAUGUGACCUAUAUUAACAAGGAAAGAUAGUAUACUAUACAUACAUUAUAUUCAACACUCCCCCUCAAGCUGGAGCAUAUACGUCAUAUGCACCAAGCUUAUUACAAAUAUAUUUAAUCCUAGGACCUCUGAGAGAUUUAGUGAAGAUGUCUGCUAGUUGAUCAUUUGAAUUGACAAAACUUGUAGCAACACAUCCUGAUGCGAUCUUCUCUCUAAUGAAAUGACAGUCAACUUCAAUAUGCUUGGUCCUUUCAUGAAAGACUGGAUUGGAUGCAAUAUGUAAUGCGGCCUGGUUAUCACAGAUGAGUUUCAUCUGUUCAUCCUUUCCAAAUCUCAACUCCUGAAGAAGAUGUCUCAACCAUAUGAGUUCACAUGUUGCCAAAGCCAUAGCUCGAUACUCGGCUUCAGCGCUAGAUCUGGCCACUACAUCUUGUUUCUUACUCUUCCAAGAUAUUAGAUUACCUCCAAUAAAAACACAGUACCCUGAAGUGGAACGUCUAUCUGUGGGUGAGCCAGCCCAAUCUGCAUCUGUGUAACCAACAACUUGAGUAUGACCUCUGUUCUCGUACAAUACACCUUGGCCUGGUGUACUUUUGAUAUAUCGAAGAAUACGGAUUACGGCAUCCCAAUGGCUAUCACAUGGUGACUGUAGGAAUUGACUAACAACACUCACAGGAAAAGAAAUGUCUGGACGAGUAAUGGUGAGAUAGUUCAAUUUACCUACGAGCCGUCGAUAUCUCCCGGGGUCUCCUAAAGGCUCCCCCUGUCCUGGUACAAGUUUGACAUUCGGAUCCAUAGGUGUGUCUACCGGUUUACAGUCUAACAUACCGGUUUCUUCCAGGAUGUCUAAAGCAUACUUCCUUUGGGAAAGGACCACACCAGAACUGGAUCGAGCUAUCUCAAUUCCCAAGAAAUACUUGAGUUUCCCCAAGUCUUUGGUCUGAAAGUGGGUAAAAAGAUGUUGCUUUAGUUUCUGAAUACCAUCCUGAUCACUGCCUGUAAUGACGAUGUCGUCCACAUAAACAACCAGAUAAAUACACUGCCCCAAGGAGUUAUGAUGAUAAAAAACUGAAUGGUCUGCUGUACUGCGAAGCAUGCCAAACUCUUGAACAACAGAACUAAAACGGCUAAACCAUGCUCGAGGAGAUUGUUUCAAGCCAUAUAGAGAGCGGCGUAACCUGCACACUAAACCAGACUCCCCCUGAGCAACAAAACCAGGAGGUUGCUCCAUAUAAACUUCCUCAGCAAGAUCACCAUGAAGGAAGGCAUUUUUAAUAUCCAACUGAUAAAGAGGCCAAGAACACAUAGCAGCCAUGGACAGAAGCAAGCGAACAGAAGCAAUCUUGGCAACAGGGGAGAAUGUGUCACCAUAAUCAGAACCAUAAACUUGAGUAUAGCCUUUAGCAACUAAGCGGGCCUUAAGGCGAUCAACCUGACCAUCAGGACCAACCUUAACUGCAUAAACCCAACGACAACCAACUGUAGAUUUACCAGAGGGUAAAACAACAAGAUCCCAAGUGCCAUUAGAGUGCAGAGCAGCCAUUUCAUCCACCAUUGCCUGUCGCCAGCCUGGAUGGGAAAGAGCUUCAUGGGUGCUCUUUGGAAGAGAAACAGAGGAUAUAGCAGAAACAAAAGCAGAAUAGGGUGAAGAUAAUCGAUGAUAACUCAAAAAAUUGUAAAUAGGAUGAGGAUUACGAGUAGAGCGAAUACCUUUCCGAACAGCAAUGGGUAAGUCAUUAGGAGAAGGCAGAGCCGGGGCAGGUGAAGCCGAAGGGAUAGGGAGUGAGUCAGCAGGUGCCUCAGGAAAAGGGAGAGGAGCAACGACACGAGGGCGACGAUGAUAAACCUGAAGUGGUCGAGGGGGCAUAGCAUCAGGUGGGGAGACAAUGGGAAUGGGCAAGACUUCAGAAACAGGAAGAGACUCAGAAGUGGUGGAAAAGAAUGGUGAGUCCUCAAAGAAGGUGACAUCAGCGGAGAUAAAGUACCGAUGAGUCUCAAGGGAAUAACAACGAUAACCCUUCUGAAGUCUGGAAUAUCCCAAGAAGAGGCACUUCAUGGCUUUGGCGGAAAGCUUGUCCUGUCCAGGAGUGAGAAUAUGAACAAAGCAAGUACAACCAAAGACACGAGGAGGAAGGAAAUAAAGUGGUUGGUCAGGGAAAAGAAGGGAGUGAGGAAUCUGAUCGUGUAAGACAGAGGAGGGCAUACGAUUAAUCAAAUAACAAGCGGUAAGAACAGCAUCCCCCCAAAAACGAAAAGGAACAUGAUUAUGGAGGAGGAGAGUACGAGCUGUCUCAACAAGAUGUCUAUUCUUGCGUUCAGCUACCCCAUUUUGUUGAGGAGUAUGAGCACAAGAAGACUGAUGAAGAAUCCCAUGAUGAGACAUAAACGAAGUAAAUUGGGCUGAAAAAUAUUCCCUGGCAUUGUCACUGCGUAACACACGAAUAGAAAUAUUGAACUGGAUUUGGAUUUCAGUAUAAAAUUUCUGGAAAAUAGAGAAUAACUCAGCUCGAUUUUUCAUUAAGAAUAACCAAGUACAUCGAGAAUAGUCAUCAAUGAAAGUGACAAAAUACUGAAAUCCUAAAGUAGACGCAGUCCGACAAGGACCCCAAACAUCAGUGUGGACAAGCUCAAAAGGAGACUUUGCCCGAUUAUUCAAACGCUUUGGGAACGAGACACGAGUAUGUUUCCCAAGCUGACAUGACUCACACGGAAGCGACGACAAAGUGGAAAAACGAGGAACCAUCUUCUGGAACUUGGAGAGACUAGGGUGGCCCAGACGAUUGUGAAUGAGGAGAGGAGCAUCAGUGGAAAUGCAAACUGCAGGAGAUGAAUCUGAGGUGAGGUGAUAGAGGCCUUGAGACUCACGUCCUAUGCCAAUCGUCUUCCCCGUACUCCGGUCCUGCAAGGUCACAAAUUUAUCAGAAAAGGUAAUAGAGCAAUUAAGAGUACGAGUGAUUUUGCUGAUGGAAAUAAGAUUAAAAGGACAUUCAGGAGUAUAAAGGACAGAAGUGAGAGGUAGAGAAGGCAAAGGAAGGGCCAAACCAAUACCUUUAGCCACAGUUUGAGAACCAUUAGCUAAGGUAACAGUAGGUAAAUCAGAGGUAGUAGUAAUAGAGGAGAAAAGAUCCUUAUUACCAGAUAGGUGAUCAGAUGCUCCAGAAUCUAGAAUCCAGGGUCCAAGAGAAGAUGUGUGGGUAAGGCAGGCAGAGGCAUUACCAGGCUGGGCAACAGAGGCAAUAGAAGCCUGAGAUGUCUGAGAUGCGGAGGAGCUCGGAGGCUGAGGCAGCGGAGAAUCAGAGGACUGGGCCAUAUGGGCAGUGCGAGGAGGUCUUCCAUGUAACUGAUAGCAACGAUCGCGAGUGUGGCCAAGUUUAUUGCAAUAGGUGCAAUGAGGACGUUGGCCUCUACCUCGGGUACCACUGCGUCCUCCUCGAGAGGUAGUUUGAGAAACUAACACAGAAGAAUCUGAAGCGCUAUCAGAUGGCAAAGUCUGAGUGGACGAGAUACGGAGGAGGCGAGCAAACACAUCAUCCAAGGACGGAACUGAUGAACUACCAAGAAUCUGAUCACGAAUAGGCUCAAGAUCCGGACGAAGGCCGAUAAGAGUAAGGACCAUGAAGAACUUGUCAAGCUGUGUUUGUUGAGCCCCAACAUCAGGAGUAAGAGGCAUCACAGUCAAGAACUGCUCCUUAAGAGAGGCAAUCUGGCCAAUAUAAGUAGAUAGAUCCAAGUCCUGUUGGCUGAAAUGGACAAUAGCAGAAGCCACCUUAUAAAGACGCUGGAUAUCAUUCGUGUAUAAUCCUUUGGCCUGAGUCCAAAAUUUAAAACAAGUUUUUUAUAGGCCUGAAGAUGAAGAAGAAUUCGGGGAUCAACCGAUUGCCAUAAUCCACUACACAACUGUGCAUCUAUCUUCCUCCACUGUACGCGGUCGACCUCAGGGAUAUCUGUCUCCUGUGUAAUCAAGUGAUCCUCAUAUCCUUGACCCAUAAACCAAAGUUCAACAGAGGCAGACCAGGAAAGAUAAUUUUCACUCCCAACUAAUUUCUCCGAAGUAAUCAUAGGAGAUCCAGAUAUGACAGAGGAAAAAAUGGAAGCUUUAGUAGCCAUAUCCACUUAUCUGAAGAAUGAAGUAUGUUUGGAUCGAAGAGAGCCCUAAUACGGCUUCAGAUUGCAGCAUGGCACCACCGAAAAAGGGAGACGGCCUCAGAUCGCGGUGUGGUACCACCAGAAAGGGAGAAGAACACUUCCCAAGGCACGUGCAGGGAUUGGAGUGGAGAAAAAGUGGUCGGAGCUUCGCCGGAAAGACUGUUUGGAGGGCCGACGGAGACAAAAAUCCCCAAAAGAGGUACGUGCAGGGCUCGGAUGGGAGAACCAGGGAGGUGGGAAGGCUGAUCGGCGUCAGGCGAAGCUGGAGGAGGAGGCGCGUCGCCGGGAAAUUUCGCCGGAAGUUCGCCGGAAAAUUUUGCCGGAAAGUUCGCCGGAAAAUUUCGCCGGAAAAUUUGCCAGCGGUGAGUGGUUUCUAAUGACGAUCCGACUGACCGGAAAGUAUUGGGAGAUGGGGAAGGUGACCGGAAAGAAACACGGUCACCGGAAGGUUUCCCGGAGUUGAUGAUACGGAAAACAGGAAAGAAUUAGGUUUUCUUCCUUGGCUCUGAUACCAUGUUGAGAGAGAGAGAGAGAAAGGAGAAAAACCUUAUUCACAUUCAUUGUAAUCUCUACUUACAAUUGAGAGAUAUAUAUAUACAAGGCUAGGAGUCCUAACUACCAUACAUGUGACCUAUAUUAACAAGGAAAGAUAGUAUACUAUACAUACAUUAUAUUCAACAAUAUUCAUUCAGUCCCAAACUUAAAACCUUGAUUUAAAUUAGUAGAAAUGAUCAGGCAGUACUCCCCAACAUGAAAUUCUUUUUCCUUUCCAUAGGGACCAGGAGAUUGGAUCUAGCCGUAAGAAGAUCCUAGUGAAUUUUACGGGCCAACUGGACCAGAAGUGUAUCAAGCUCAAGCAACAGAGCUUGGAUUGAUCUAUAUUAAGAUGUUAUACAAUACUUUCAAAAUCAUUCAAUUCGGGAUUCAUUUACAACAAAUUCAUACCAAUCCCCAUAGUUAUAAAAUAUUUUUAGACUACUGCAAGACAUUUACCUUGAAAAGCUUCAUAUGAAUAGCUUCAGGUACAGAAUGUUAGCAAUUUUCAGUUUUUUUUUAAUAAGCAAAUAAGAUUAUUAUUAACAGUGUCUAAUCAAAAGAGGUGCACCAACAUACACAGGGAGUAUGCAAAGGUGCCAAAACAGCAACGAGAUAAAGAGUAACAAAAAACACCUUUCUCACAUCAAAAAAAGCCCAACCAAUCAACAAAAUUGAAAGUAGAUCAAGAGGCUCCAUCUAAGGUUAAGCAAUUUUAAGUUAGUAAAUCUUUCACCACAAAGCUUAAGUUAUUGUUGAGCUGUAGGUGAUUUGAGGGAAGACCCAAGUACAGAAAUCUCAUGUGCUAGGAGGAAACUAGGUCACUCUUCUUAAAAAUAAAUUUGGUGAAGGAAAAAACAGGGACACCACCUCCAAAACAGAAAAAAACUAGAUUCACUAUUUAUCCGCAAAACAAAAUGAACAUAAUCCUCAAGUCAACUUGUUUUCACAGUCCAAGAAAUUGGUGGUAAAAGUUCCAAAAAAGAGUGCUUAACUACAUUCAAAAAAUUGAAGAGUUAAAUAAACACACACACGCAAAGAUAGAGAUGAGAUGAGUACUGAUCGAAAAAUUAAAACCAUUAAAGCGGAAAUCUGUACAAAGAGUUCUCCAGAAUGGUAGCAUUGUCAACCAGCCAACUCAAUAAAGCCUUGUCCCAAUUAUUGAUUUCUUAGAUGUUUACUACGAAAAAUACAAGUUUUUACAUGCUCAUGAAUAAUGAUUUCACAACCAAACAUCCUACUCCCAGCUUAUUCAAAAUCAAACUGUAAAUAAAAUUCCCUUGUUUCUCUAAUCCUUAGACUGAGGAAGCUCUGUCCUCUUUAGUGCUAUUUAUGGGCUUAGAUAGAGCACUCUCCCCUCACACUCACUUGGAAAAUGAAUGAAGAAUUCACCUAUAGAAAGAUUGGAGGCCAUAGUUUAUUUUUUAAGGCCUCUGGAAGCAGCCUAUUGCUCUUACAGCCUAUUGCUCUUAUGGAUUUCCUUUUGAAAAGGAUCUUUUUGCAUAAAAGACAGAAUUUAUCAACAAAAGGAAUUGGAUCCAUACGGGAAGAAGGAAAAGGAAAAAGACAAAAUCGAUCAAUUGCAACAACAUAAAAGGAAAAGUUAAAAUUAAUCUGUUGUGAGCCAUCCUAUUAUCAACAACAGAAAUGACACCACACUCAAACAUAAAUUAGCUCAUUUUAGAACCAAGCAAUCACCUUCAUCAUUAGCUUCCUAGCCACCCAGUCCCAAAAAAUCUCCAAAGCAGUGACCUGGUCAAGGACCUUGCCAAACAAUCUCAUUCUUCCUAUGGCAUCUCCUCCCUGCGCUAGUGCAGUCAAAGAUUGUCUGAUCACAUUUUGUGCAUACUUUGGCUAGCACUUGAAAGGAUAUUCUUAAGAACUCCAAGGUUUCCUUUUCCCUUAAACAUUUAGAAGGUAAGCAAGAAAAACCAACAGUUAAUGUGACAUUCCCACCACCAAGAACUUGGGGAAGAGCCUUGGAUAUUUUUUAUUUCAUUCCAAAGAGAAGAAGAAGAACAUUUUACUCGGUGAUUAAUAAGAACAAUCGCAAACUAGCAAGAUGGGAGCUACAAAACACACACAUAGAGUUACCCUUGUUUAAUCUGUCAAGGCAACAUUCAAACAAUCUCCCUGCCUCAACAAACUUGUAAGAGACUGGACAAAGAACAGAAGUUUUUGUGGAAUGACACUGAAGAAAGUAAAAAGGAAAUUUCCCUUUGGUUAACUGGGAGAAAACCUGCAUUCUCAAGAAAAAUGGAGGCAUUGAGCUUCAAAGUCCAGGAAUUGUAACAUCACAAUGCCAUCAAAACUUAGGCAGAAGAUCCUUGAGGAGUCUGAACCUUUGUGGACUAAAAUCCUCAUGACUAAGUAUAUUAAAAAGGUAAAACAGCAUAGUCCAAAAAACCUCAUCUAGAGCCUCCUCCUUUGUCAAGAUAAGGAUUCAAAAGCAAUACGGUGAGAAUAUCUCAUUGUAGUUGCGGAUGAUAGGUGGAUUGGCUUGGAUCAUUAAGGGAAUCUAUCAAGGCCAGAUUUAUCCUCUUAAGCUGAUGGUAUUUGAUGUUCAUGCUAACCUGGAAGGCUAGAUAAGCCUUGAACAAGCAUCAUUCCUAACGCUAAUUUAUUUAGGAAUCCCAGCUCCUCUUCUCCAAAUCUCUAGGAUAACAUCAUCAGAAGAGUCCUUUAAUGUAACUUCCAAUCAAAUCUUCCCAUAAGAAGUAGGUGGACCAUCCCAACUCAAAAAUGGAAUUUGUGAGCUAGACAUGGGAGUAUGAAAUGCGCUGCAACAGAAAUUAUUCAUCUGUAUUGCCUAUCAAGAUGGCCACAUGCACAACAUUCUUCAAACACCUCACCAAGGAUAAUAUAUGCCAACAGUCAGCAUUUAUUCACAGCUGUGAUUAAUUAUACAACUAUAUAUUAUUUUGUAUAGUUGUCCAUUAUUCUAUAUAGUUGUCCAUUAUUCUAUAUAGUUCACUAUCCUAAAAUAGCCCCAUCUACCCUGUAUAAAUACCCUUGAGACAUAUGAAAAAUUUGUUCAGCAAUUUAUUAAGUUGGUAUUAGAACAAAAGUAGAGAAUUUUCGUUGCUGCCUAGCCUACACUUCUUUCUUUCUUUUUCAUCCUCUUCAUUAUCAUAUCAUGUCUGCAAAAACAAAUGUGAGUAUUUCGUUACCAUAUUCACUGAAAGAAGCACGGUUAUCUAGAGUGGUACAAGCUUAAGCAAGUUGAAAAGAAGAACAAGAAAUCAACUCAAAUUGCUCUUACCAAUGCUACUCCUCUAGCUUUUGUUUCUCAAGUUUCUUGAUUAUCUUCUCAAGAAGGUAAUUCUGGUUUGGCCUUUAUUUCUACUACUUCUAACCCUUGGGUUAUUGGUUCAAGAGUCACUGAUCAUAUGACUAGUCAUUCUUCCUUAUUCGACUCUCUAAUGCCUUCAUCUGUUAAGUCUAUUUAGGUUGCUAAUAGGACUCCUACAACAAUUUUAGGAGUCCAAAAUGUCUCACUUUCCCCCACACUCUCCAUGUCCUUUGUCUUAUGCGCCUAGUCUCUCUAAUAAUUUUCUUCAAGAUUACCAAACAUCUUAAUUAUCAUGUUACUUUCAAUUCUAUCAACUGUGUGUUUCAAGACAAUCUUACGAAGAUGACAACUAGCAUUGGUAAGGAGAGGGGAGGUCUUUACUACUUGGAGGGGGUAAGGGAGUUACAAUUUGAAUUUGACCAUAUUUUUCAAGUAGCAAAAGAGACGUUUGAUAGAGAAAAAAUUCUUUUAUGGUAUUACCAAUUAGGUCACCCAAAAUUUUCUUAUUUGGAAUGUUUAUUUCAUCAGUUGUCGCAAAAAUUUUUAAUUUCUAGUUUAAGGUGUGAACAACGCAUUUACGCUAAAAAUCAUCGUGUACCUUUCAAAAUGCAUCUCAAUAUAAGUCUAAUUCCUUUCACUUGUUUUUUCACAAAUACCUAGGAUCCUUUUCUACUCCUGCUUCAAGUCAUAAAUACUUUCUAUUUAUUGAUGACUAUACUAGGGUGAGCUAGGUAUAUUUGCUUAAGUCUAAGAAUGAUGUUCUACAUGUAAUUCCUCAAUUUUCCAAAAUGAUUAUCACACAAUUUAAUACUCAGGUUAAGGUCUUUCACUACAACAAUGGUUGUGAGUUUGUGAAUCAGUCUCUUGCUGAUUUAUUCAAAGAACAUGAAAUCCUCCACCAGACGUGUACAUACGCGCCACAGCAGAACAGCACAGUAGAGCGUAAAAACCGCCACAUUCUAAAGGUGCCCAAGCUUUAUACUUUAUUAUGCAUGUUCCAAAACGUCUAGGGGUUGAGGGUGUCAUGAUUGUUGUCUUUCUCAUCAACCGAAUGCCUGCUCGUAUCAUUGAUUAUCAAAAUCCUUUACGAAUGUUAUCACAGUUUCACCCUAUUCCUUCUACUUUGAACCUUUAUCCUAAAGUUUUUGGUUGUGUAUGCUAAUGCUCAUAUACACUCUUAUCAAAGGGAUAAGCUUGAUCCUCAUGCUCUUAAAUGUAUCUUUCUUGGUUACUUUAAUUUCCAAAAGGGCUAUCAAUGCUUUCAUCCUCUUAUAGGCAAAUACUAUGUCUCUAGGAAUGUUCAAUUUUAUGAAGGGAGUCUUAUUUUUCUAGGAAUGUGUCUUUGGUUCCUCUUCAAGGGGAGAUUAGUAGUAGGGAAAAGGAAAGGUUAUGGUUAGAGGAGAAGAGGUUAUGGAUUUCAAGUCAAGAGGGAUUCAACUGAUUUAGGUAAGGGGGAGUCUUUAGAUGUUCCCAACCCUAUGGCAGCUAAGUUUGAAUCUGAGGGAAGAAGGGAUGAAAAACCAACCAGAUUAUUCCAACAAGGUUAUACAAGGAAGAACAAAGAUGCUAUUGUCAUACCCCUUUCAAGCUCUAAUACUCCUCUUAAUGAUACUACCAAGGCAUCGGAUGACUCUUCCAAUACUGAUCCUAAGGUACAUGUUCCUUCUCCUUUAACUUCCAAAACUGCUACCUUGAAUCCACAAGUUGGUGAUCAAUGUAGGAGAUAUCCUUUUUGUAAUCAUAAAGAACCUAACAAGUUGAGUUUCUCAAAAUCAUCCUCUAAUGUUAUCUAUACCAUUUCUGAUUUUGUCUCUUAUCACUGUCUAUUUAAGACCCACCUUGCUUUUGCUCUUUAGUUGUCCUCUAUGUCUAUUCUUAGUCUUUUUCAGGAAGCCCUUAAAGAUCCCAAGUGAAAGUCUGCUAUGGUAGAAGAAAUGAAGGCUCUCCAAAAGCACUCUACUUGGGAGAUGGUCGAGCUCCCUCAAGAAAAUAAGAUAGUGGGAUGUAAGUGGAUGUUUUCAGUCAAGUACAAGUCAGAUGAGACAAUUGAUGGGUACAAAACUAGACUAGUUGCUAAGGGUUACACUCAAACUUAAGGAAUUGACUAUCAAGAGACCUUUACCCCUGUGGCCAAGAUGAACGUUGUUAGAGUCAUACUCUCUUUUGUGGUCAAUCUAAACUGGCCAUUAAGACAGUUUGAUGUAAAGAAUGCCUUUUUUCAUUGUAAUCUAUUAGAUGAGGUGUAAAUGGAUCGCCCUUCGGGGUUUACACCAAAAGGAGGCAAGGUAUGCAAACUUAAAAAGGCUUUGUAUGGAUUGAAGCAGUCACCAAGGGCAUGGUUUGGCAGGUUGAGCUAUUCAAUAAAGGAGUAUGGUUUUAAACAAGUUAUGGCAGAUCGCACUUUGUUCUAUGAGAGAGAUGGUGAUGACAUUACUUUGCUUAUUGUUUAUGUUGAUGACAUGAUUGUUACAGGUAGUAACUCUACAAAAAUAGAGAAGAUUUGAAACUAUCUAGCUAAGGAAUGUAAUGAAGGACUUAGGUGCUCUAAAAUACUUCUUGGGCAUUAAGGUGUCUCGGUCCAAGCAAGGACUUUUUCUCUCACAAUGGAAAUAUAAAUUAGAUCUCUUAGCUGAAAUCGAUAACUUUGCUUGCGAACCUAUAGAUACUCCCAUUAAGAUAAAUCAUAGCCUAUCCAUUUAUCCUGAUCAAAUCCCAACGAACAAAGAAAGACAUUAGAGACUAGUGGGGAAAUUAAUCUAUUUAACCCACACUAGACCUGACUUAUCAUAUGCAAUUACUAUUGUAAGUCAACUCAUGCAUAAUUUGAGUGACAAACAAAUGAAUGCAGUAAAUAUUAUCUUGGCCUAUAUGAAGUCCUCUCCAAGCAAACACAUUAUGUUCUCUAGACAUGGACAUCUAGAUAUUGAGAGCUACAUAGACUCUGACUUUGCUGGAUCCAUAUUGGAUAGAAAGCCUACUUCAAGGUAUGUGUCAUUUGUAGGAGGAAAUUUGGUGACCUCAAGGAGUAAGAAACAAAAUGUGGUCUCAUUGUCUAGUGCAAAAGCUGCAUACAAAGAAGUUCAUCAUGCAACUAUGGAGCUUAUUUGGCUAAGAAUUUCAACUCUAGUUUUGUCCUAAGAAACCUAUGGUACUCUUUUGUGAUAACAUGACAGCUAUUGAGAUUAUAAAUAAUUCGGUACAACACAAUCAAACAAAGCAUAUUGAACUUGAUAGGAACUACAUCAAAGAUAACCUAGAUUCUAGCAUCAUAAAGGUUCCUUACAUCAAGAGUGCAAAUCAGUUAACGGAUGUGAUGACCCAUGUUGUUACUAAUAAAGUCCAACUUUAUCAAGUCCAACUUUACCACCCUCCUUUCAAAGAUUAGUGCAAUAUAAGCUUUCCAUGUCUUAGAACAAUGACUUCUUCUCUUUACCUAUCUCAAGAUAAUUAAAAAGGAAAAUCCAUUCCCAAACAAAGAACUUGGUAGCAAGCCAAGUUCUUGCUAAAGUCUCCAUAGUUGUAAUAUGAACAAAAUGGAAAAAAAGAAACUCUCUUACUUUGUUACCAUAUCUUCCCCUAAAAUCUUUGCUAAAGUCUACAAUGUUAGACACUACAUCAAGAACUUGGCUUGGUCUUGGUCAAUGUUUUAAAAGGCUAAAGGCAAUCUUGAGGCAUUUUGCCUAAAUGAGGCAAGACGUUCAAGACAGAAUGAGGCGUAAGCCUCAACUUAAACAAAUAGAUAAUAAAAAAAAUCAAAAAAAUAAAAAGUUACUCAUAAAGCAUAAGAAAAUUGAAUAAUAAAAAAGAUAUAACUUCAAAAUGAUAAAAUUUAUUAUUUUCCAUUGUUAAUAGUUUCUAAUUAAGUUCCUUUUUCUCUAAAAAAAUAAAAAAAAUAAAAAAAAAUUAGCUCACUCAGGAGUUUAUCAAAUAGUUCUCAACAUUACUAUUACUAUCACUAAUAGGAUCUUCCAAGGAAUAUAAUCAUAUCCAAUUGUUAUAUUAUAUUGUCCAUUGGUGUUAAUAUCCAUCCAUCUUUCUUCUUUGUCCACCAAUUGCAAUAGUAUAUUUGUUUAUCUAUCAAUAAUUAGAUUUUAUAUGAGAUCAACCAUUAAGACAGUCACCAAUUCCAUUAUUCUUUUCAAUCUCUCUUUUUUCCUUCCAUUUAAAAGAUUAAUUGGAAGUCAACCAAGCCCUUAUUUUGUAAAAAGUUACACCAAGUAGGGAUCCAAUACAAAAUUCAUGAAAUCUAUAUCAAAAGUUCAUAAAAGCAUAGAUGAUAGAACCCACUAAAACUUACUGAAUAUUGAUACUUAAUUAUUUUAUAAAAUAUAUACCAAAAGCCUGCAAAGGCCAAAAACCCUUUGGAUAUUUGAGGCUUAGGCUUCAACAACCUUGAGGCUAAGCUUUGAUAAGGUGAGGUUUAAGCCUCAAUUACACUAAUUGAGGCCAUAGCCUCAAGGCUCCUCGAGGCGUUAGCCUCAAAUAGUCUUUUAAAACACUGGUCUUGGUCUAGAGCACCAAAGAAGCCAUUAAAAAAUCAUCAAAAAUUUAAAAUAAGUCAUGUGUCACAUCAACAAAAAAAAAGGGUCACGCAAGAAAAAUAAACAAGGCCUACAUGAUUCAAGUUUAUAUAAUCUCACCUCUGGAUCUAUUUUCUGAUUUUCUGAUAUGCACUCAUUGCUCAGUUCGUUAUGUUUUUUUGGUCCAGUUGAACAAGUACCAAUUGGCCAUUCAGAAGCUGAAUUAGGACACCCACUUCCAUGGUUAAGACUAGAUGAAGCUCGCUUUCUCUUGUAUGUUAAAAACACUUUACUGCCAGACAUUUAAGCUUUCAAGCAGAAUUCCUGUCACUAUACUGAGGUCUAGAACCUUGUGGCACCAGAGUACAGUUCAUUCAUCAAACAAAACAUAUCUGCAAGCAUUGAAACUCUCUGGGCAUUAGUCAAAAGAUAGUUCAGGGCAGGAAAACAAUGACAGGACUUGAAAAAGAAAUUGAAGACAAAUUGAUUGGGUAAAACCAUAAAAGCACAUUAACGCAUGGUAAGCAAUAUCAAAGUUACUUCACAUUCCCAAAGACAUGUUAGUAGUUUGAAUUCAUCCAAAUCAAAUUUCAAAGUUCUGCUCAUUAUAGCUUUUCAUUUAGACUUCUAUUAUAGUUUAAAAAGAAAACUCAGUGAAAAUGUGAUCGUGCACAAGGUGCUCCACCAAUCACAAAGACAUUUUCACUAUAAACCAUCCAUAUGAAUUAAAUACAGAACAGCUGCAUUUUAGAGCCAAAUGUUGAGGGACCACUAAGACUUUCCAAGACCCACAUUUAAAUGUGAAAAUGAUAUAAACAAAGGCAUUUCUCACUUGGAACUCAUGAAAUAUCAGAGAAAUGACCAGGUCACCUAUUCAAUUAAUGUGCCUUGAUGAAUUCCCGGUCAUACCUGACCAUUUUUCAGGGACAAAUUCAUGUGCAUUUGCAACCUCUCUAUGGUUCAUAUCAACAAAUUGGCCAUCAAGCGUGAUCACGUGCAUAAUGCAAUACAUGUUUAUGCAAUUUUUUCCUCACUAUAUGAACUCAUGAAAUAUGAAUGUGAUCACAUUCACAUUCAUUGGAUUUAUAAUGCAACAACCAUACUCAUGCAAUAUUUUCAACCCUAUUCAAUAACUCAACCUCAUUUUCAUCCACAACAUUAUUGGACCCACAUUUAUUCCCCACUCAGAACACUCACUCAGGUCUUCUCUUUGGCUGCUAAGAAAAGAAAUUAAAAUUUUUUCAGCUUAGGUAACUCAUUAUUCUGAAAUUCCAGAACAAAAACAUAAAAUAAAAUAAAAAUACACACAAAAACAAAAAAUAAUAAUAAUAAUAACAAAUAAUGAGCCUAAACACAAGCAUUGCUGUAUUUCCUUCUUUUUCUCCGUAUUCUUUAGGAAAACAAACAGUAAACUACAAUUGUAAUUCAUCGUAUUUUCAACCUGUCCCUAAUUGACAUUCAUUAAGAAAUUUGCCUCGAAAUUCAUCAACUCAAAAAUGGCGAAAACUAUCAUGCUCUAUCCAAUAAUCCAAUUUCAUUUUUAUCCAAAAAAUAUUACACCCACAUUCGUUCACCACUCACAACACCCACCAAAGUCUUCUGUUAGGCAGCCAAGAAAAGAAAGUAAAGCUUCUUCCACAUUGGUAUCCAUUGUUCCGGAAACCCAGAACGCAAAAAAAAAACCAAAAACCGAUCCUGGACAUGCCUAUUGCCUCGUUUCCUUACCUUUUUCCCGCGUUUUCUCGAGAACCAAACAGAGGCAAAUACAACCACAAUCAAUUCAACUCAAAAAAAAAAACAAAAACCCAAAACACCUGAUUGACAAAUAAACAUCCUGCAUGCAAAGAAAGAAGAAAAUAAAACCAAAAAGAAAAUAGAAUCAAAAAAUUGAUGGGUUCCUUUUUUUUGGUUGAAUACAAUAAAAAAUCAAAUACAAGAGCGAGUGCAAUGAACAAAAAGGAAUCAAACCAUGGAACAGCAAUGAAGAACGACGUUAUAUGGCGGAUUGAACCCUUUCUCUCUCGUGGGUGUGUGUAUUCCCCUUUAUUUUGCUGGCAUUUGGGAGAGAGAGUGAGCAUUUAUCAGUGAGUGAUUGAAAACGAAACGUUUUGUUUUUAUUUUUUAUUUUUUAUUUUCUGUUUUUUAUUCUUUUUACGUCGUUGUCCGGUGGACAUUAGCCAUUGGGCCCACCCCCGUCCCAUUCUUCUCGCACGUGUCGACUCCAAGCGUGUGGAAAUAUCCAGUUCGAUACCAUGCGUGUUUAGUUUUUGCGAGUUUGGAUUAAAUUUAAAAAAGGAUAAAAAGCAACAUGAAAUUACAAAUAUAACCUCUUACCUUUUUUUUACCAAAAAAUAUUUAUUUUGGAUAAGAAUACCCUCAUUUUUUUCUUGAAAAAAUAAAAAAAAAAUUAAAACACAUAUAAAUAAUAAAAAUAUCAAAGGAUAUUUAUGUUAAAAAUUGAUUAUUCUUUGAAUUCAAAAAUGGGAAAGGUUAGUUUUACUAAUUUUGGAUCUUUUUAGCCAUUUUAAUCAAUUAAUUCAAUUUAAAAUUCAUCGCAUGUUCAUUUCAUACUUUUUAAAAUAAUUUUCAAAAAUCAAUUUUUUAAUAAUAAUUCCUAGAAAUAAUUUUUAAUUAUAAAUAAAUUCUCAUUCAAUGACUCAUAUAUAUGAAAAUAAAUGUUUUUGUCAACCCUCUAUAUAAAGGCAUUGUUUCUUUUUAUAGUUUUGAGCAAAAAUAAUUUAUUUAAAAAUAAAAAUUUCAUAAAAUAGGUCUUUUUUCAAAAUGAUUUCAAAAUUAGUGUGUCUCGUACCUACAAUUUAAAAGUAGUUAAAAUCUUAAUUACCAACUAUGACUUUAAAUUUAAAUUUAAAACUACAGUUGAUGACUAUGAUUUUAAAACUAAAUUUAAAACCAUAAUCAUUUGUUAUACUUUUAUAUUUAAAAAAUUCAAAAUCAUAAUUACUAACUACGAUUUUAUGAUGUAAAAGAAAAUUUCGGACUUGUAUGCCCAAAUGACUAAAUGCCCAAAUGACUAAAAUGCACUAAUUUGAGAAUAAUCUAAGUUAAUCUACUUUAUGUUUUUUCAAAUAUAGUAUUUUGCUCAAAACUCCAUUUGUAGUGUAUAAAAGUUUUUUUAUCUAUAUAUUCUUCAUGUUCUUAAUAUUUUUUAUUAGAAUUUAUUGAAAAACCCUAAAAAUAUUUUAAAUUAAUUUUAAAAACCAUUAUAUUUUCAAAAAAAAAAAAAGUUUUCAACAAAUAUUUAUCAAAUGUGCUCUAAAAGUUUAAAAAUUGGCUUCUAUUCUAAAUACUAAAAUACUAUUCUUAAAAAUAAUUGUCAACUAGGUCUUGUGCUUCUUUAUAUCAUUGAUUUUGAAAUUUUGUGAAACUAUAGAGUUUUACAUGCUAAAUUUUCACAUAAAAUUAACAAUAAUGGGUUAAAUUUAAUUAUGUUGAAUGAUAAAAACCAACUAUUUUCAUUUCGAAAUAGCAUUAUUUAUUAUUAUUGUUAAGUAUAAAAAGUAAAACAUGAAAAUUCACUUCCUUUUUUGUUAUUGAUUUUAUAAACAUGUUAAAAUAUAUUUAAAACAAAUAAUCUCAAUUUAAUUUAUUUUUUCAAAAAAAAAUCUUAAUUCAAUUUUGCUUUGAGCAAUCUCUCCAUAAAAAACAUUAAUAUUAAUUUUGUUAGCCCAUGGGUUCUUGUAAUCACUUUUUGAUGAUAGCAAAACCAUGAUUAGUAUACUAAUGGUUUUAUAAUCAAGAUAAAUUUCAAGUCUUAAUUGAGGAAUUCAAUAGGAAAAACAAGAUACUCAUCAAGGGUUCAAAGGAUGCAAGUUUAAGAGAAUAUGAAAACUGUUCAAGUCUAGGAUUUAUGUGUAAAAUGAAUAAAUGGGUGCACCUAGGUCUGUCAUACUAAACCAUGCAUCUUUAAAUACUCAAUUUAUGCAUUAAAGUUACUCAUCAAGGACUAGUCGAGGGGUAGGUCUGCCCAGUUAAGGUCGAACGGUUACCUAUUGUGCAUUUAAUGUCCAACGGCUAGUCAAUUAGUCGAAUGAAGUUCGACCAAAUGAGACCAUUUUUUAGUAUUUUUAUGCCCCAGGGUAGAAACCUAUAAAUAGAAAGCUUCAUUUCAUUUAUAAGUAAGAGAACACUUGCAAUCAAUUAUCUAACUACAUGUUCUUCAAUUAAAGUUCUUAUUUCUUUAUUUGGUGCAUUUUUUUCCUCACUUACCUUCUAAUGCACCUUUGUUAUUCAUCCUAAUCUUUCUUAUGUAUUUAAGUAUUUAUUGAGCUAGGUUGAGAGUUUAUUUCCUUCUUGUUAAGUGAAAUUGUUAGCAUUGAAAGCUUCAAGUUGAUGAAUACUUGAAGAGAUUAUGUAAGUGUCAACUGGAGUCAGAAUUCAAAUGUAAAGACAUUGAAAGUUUGGUUGAAGCUUCAAGAAUAGUAGAACCCUCACUUGGUUGGAGCUUGAGGAUAAUGGAUGCAAGCAAGGGGUGUUGAACCACUACAAAAUUCAUGGUUGCUCUCUCUAACUCAAUCUCUUUAUAUUUGUGCCUUAUUUUGACAAAAUUAAUAGUGAUUGGAAAGUUUUUCAAAAAUCCAAGUUACCUCCCCUCUUAGUUGAUUUUUCUAUUUAGAUUAGCCUUAAUUUCAUAAUUAGUAUCAAACCUAAGCAUUUUGUUUAAGACUUAACUAUGUAAAAGGAAAAUGACUAAUCCAUCAAGUUCAUCCCAUAUGAAAGGUGUUGCAACUAAAUGACUUCCAUUUUUUAUAGGAACCGAUUAUCCCUAUUGGAAAACUAAAAUGACAUGAUUUUUACAAUCAACUGAUCUUGACCUUUGGGAUAUCAUUAAAGAUGGUCCUACUAUUCCUUCAAAGCUUGUUGAUGAAGUUAUGGUUCUAAAACUCAAAUAUGAAUGGGAUGAGCAUGAUAAAAGAAAUGUUUAAUUGAAUGCUAAAGCUAUUUAUUUCUUGCAAUGUGCUAUUGAUAGAAAUAAAUACAAUAGAGUUUGUCAAUGUAAAUUGGCUAAAGAAAUAUGGAGAUUGCUUAAAGUAACUUAUGAAGAAACAAAUCAAGUUAAAGAAUCAAAAAUCAAUUUACUUAUUCAUAGUAGCACACACGCUUUAAGAAGUGAUUUUCAAAAAACUUUGAAUGCAAAAACUAAGAAGAUUUAGGUUGAAAAAUCCAAGCUCACUAACCCUCAAGGAUCUAAAAAAAUACGAGUACCUAAAUCCACUUGAGUUAUGUGUUAUAAGGCUUAAAGAAGGACAAGUGGUUCUUAGAUAGUGGAUGCUCAAGACACAUGACCAGAGAUGAAUCCAAGUUCGUUUUCUUUACAAGGAAACGGGAGGAUAUGUUACCUUUGGAGACAAUGCAAAAGGAAAGAUCAUUAGACAUGGAAACAUUGGUAAUGACACAUUCUCUCUCAUUGAAAAUGUUUUAUUAGUAUAUAGUUUAAAAUACAAUCUUUUAAGCAUUAGUUAACUUAAUUUGUGACAAAGGUUUUAAAGUGAUUUUUUUAAGCAUCUCAUUGCAUCAUUAAAAAAAAAUUGCUUGGGAAUUCUCUUCUCCUUCCAAAUUCUGAAAAAAAAAAAAAAAAUCACCGAUAAGUGAUUGUGCUAGGCUUUUGAGAUUUGAAUUUUUGAAGAUAUAUAGGAAAUGAAUAUUGCAACUAGGUGUAGUGUCGUUGAUGAUUCAGGAUGCUUUAGAGUUCUCUAAAAGGUUUAAGUUAGACUUUAUGAUAUUUCUAGGUCUAUGAAGGUUCGAAGAGUUUAGGUUUUAGUGAUGGUACUGUGGAUAAGAUUUUAGCGAAGUUUCCUCGAGUAAUCAUGUUGAAUGAGAAUGAAAUUCAAAGGAAAAAUCCAUUCUUGUUGGAAGUUAAGAUUCCAAAAAAUGGGAUUAAUGGGAUUUUUCGUUUUGAGGUCAUUGACACAAUGUGAAGAUAUAGUGUGGUGGGUAGAAGAGUGACUAUUGUUGGUGGAGGAUUGCAAAGUUUAUCAUUGGUGGAGGAAUACAAACCUUGUCAUUGGUCGAAGACACCAAUGGACGUGAAUUCCAUCACUAACUAAUGUUUGCGGAAGUGAAGAUAAAGCAUGCGAAAUGGAGGAGUGGUUAUGGUUGUGGUCAAUGGAGGACUGUGGAGCUUGCUAUCGAUGGAAGAGUGCAAAGCUUGUUGUUAGUGGAUGAGUGCAAAGCUUGCCAUCGACGAAGAGAGGAGAUGAAAAGAGGUUAAUUGAACAUAUAAGAUGAAAUGUUCUAAGGUUUCUUUAUCUUAUAUUAUUUUGUUCAUAUUUUUUUUAAUCUUACGUGGAAUGUAUAUGUGACAUGCUAACAUGGCUAGCGAGUUACAUGACAUAAGCUUAUAUGGAAGUCGCUUCUGUGGCUAUUCCAAGUUGGCCACUCCAAGAAUUAAGUUUGUGGGUAUUUUUAGAAAUCUUUGCCUAGCACUCUUACAAUGCAUGUAUUAGGCAUUAUUAUUAUUAUUAUUAUUAUUAUUAUCAUUAUUUUUCACUUAAGCUGAAAAAAAAAAAUAGGAAAGUUUAUGUUCUCAAAAGCUUAUUUUUAUAAAUAAAUAAAAAAAUGGAGUAUGGUUACUUAAUUCUCCUAGUAUUUUUUUUUUCUUUUUUUGGAGUUAAAACAUAAAAAUAAGUAUAAAAAAAUCAUUUGAAUUUUAAAAAAUGAUUAACAAAAUAAUUUAAUAUUUGUUUAAAUAUAUUUUUCUUUUCCAUUUUUAAAAUUGGAAAAUAUAAGGGCCUAUUUGACCAUGUUUUUUUACACUUGUUUUUAAAAAUUAUUAUUAAGUUAAAGAACAAAAAACAAUUUUCAAGUGUUUUAUAAAAGUAAGAAUAUUCGACAAGCUUUUAAAAACAUUUUUUUUAAAUAAAAAACAAAAAACAUGUUUGGAUAAGUUGUUUUUAAAAACAAUUUUUUUUUUGUUUUGAUUUUGUAAAAACAUUGCGAAUUCAAUUUAUAUAAUAUAAAUUAAAUUUAAUUCAAGUCUUAUUAAAAAUUAAAAUAGUUAUGUAAUUACAAAUAAAUUUAAAAAUAAAUAGUUUUUAAUAAAACAUGAAUACUAAAAUUAUAAUAAACUCAUAAAUUAUAUUUUUUAUAAAAAAAAAACUAUUUUAGUGUAUGUUAAAAAUAAAAGGCAAUUUUUUUUGUUAAAAAUGAAUAAUAAUAAUAUAAAAUAAUAAUUUUAACAAUAUUUUAUUUAAAAUAAAUAAUAAAUAAAGUUUAACUUUUUAAUAGUGCAAAUGAGUCAAUUUUUUAUUUAUUUAAUAUUGAAUUACAAAUAUAAUAUUCUAAAAUAUCUUUAUUUAAUCUGUUGUUAAUUACAUCAAUUUUUUGAAUUAAAAAUUAUUCUUAAAAAUUUUUAAAUUAAUUAAAUAAUUUCAAUUAUUAAUUGUGUCUUACUUAAUUUAUAAUUUAUUUAUCUAAAUUUAAAAAAUAAAACAUCUGUACGUAUAAGAGAAAUAGUAAAGUCAUGACUCAUAAUAUUUUACUUUUAGUCUAUUAUUUUUUUUAAUGAUUAAAUCAGUUUUUUGAGUUCCAAAUUAUUUUUAAAAAUUAUUAAACCUAUUAAUAAAUUCAAUACAAAGUGUCAUUUGAUUUGAAGUUCAUUUUUAUAGUGAGAAAAAUUAUAAAAAUAUAAUUAUGUGUUGAAAAAAUAAUAUUAUGAACCAAUUUUAUCCAUAAAUUUCUAGUAUAAAUGAGUUUAUUAUCUAAGUUUUAAAUUAUUUUUAAAAAUUACUAAACUUGUAAACGAAUUCAACACAUUAAAUUUUGUUAAUUUAGAGCUUAUUUUUCUAGUUAAAAAUAUAUAUAAAAUAAUAAUUUUAUAUAUAAGAGAAACAAUAUUCAUUUUUUAUCAAUUUUUGCCCAUAAAUUUCUGGUAUUUAUUAUCUCAAUAUUUUACUUUGAAAUUAUUUUUAGAAAGUACUAGACUCAUUAAUGAAUCCAAUAAAUUAAGUUUUGUUCAAUUUGAAGUUCAUUUGCCAAGUGAAAAAAAUGAUUAUAGGUAAAAGAGAAACAAUAAAGUCAUUAUAAACCAAUUUUUGUUUAUAAAUUUAUGGUAUUAAUUGGUUGAAGUUUUAAGUUAUUUUUAAAAAUUACUAAACUUGUUUAUAAAUGCAACACAUUAAGUUUUGUUUAAUUUUGAAUUCAUGUGACUAGUGAAAAUUUCAGAAAAUAAGAAUUGAAUAUAAAAGAGAAACAAUAAAGUUGUUUUAGACCAAUUUUUGUCCAUAAAUUUUUUGUAUUAAUUGAUUCACUAUUUGAGUUUUAAAUUAUUUUUGAAAAUUACUACAUUCAUUAAUAAAUUCAAUGCAUUAAAUCUUACUAAGAAACUAACUCAAAUAUUUAAGAUAAACUUUGGCCUAUGACUUACUAAUGUUAUUACAAACUUCGCAUUUCGCACAAUGUGUUCCCACUCGAUGGCGAAACUCGUUUUUUAUUUAUUUAGUGAAAAAGAUGAUUUUUAGAAAAGACUUAGAGUUACCACUUUUUUUUGUUUUAUUUUUAAGGGAAAACAAAAUAAGAAAGAAAACCCUAGGUGUGACUCCUUAUUUGGAAAAGACGGUAUGUGAAAAACCAAACCUGAGUUUGGGGGUCAGAUUACUUAUUGGGAAAGUACGGUAAAGACCAUAGAACCCCUCUAAGCUCCUAAAAAUGGGUCUCUACUAAAUAAGAUGAAGCAAACAUGACAAUUAACUAAAAAAUCAAUGGAUAUCAAAAUGACCAUAAAUCAAAAGUGAGUCAUGAUAACGAAAUAAUAAACAAAGUGAGAGUGAGAGUAUACCUUGGUGGCAGGUAAUAAAGCGCUAUCAUGAAACAGGGUUAGUGGAUAAUAAUGACUACAAAAUAUAUUACAUGCAUAUCAAAUAAUAAGAAAAAGAUCAAACAAUAUUCAUUAAGCAUAACAGUUGAUAAUCAAAAGAGAAAACUCAUAUGUAGGGCCCCCACCAAAGCCCAAUUUAUCUUGCAUGAAUUAGUCUCACAAAUUCCAUUAUUUUGGAAUUAUGAAAAACUCAUUCUUGCUUAUUUAAAAAAACAAGAGAAACAAAAAAGUAUUUGAAAAUUGAAGAAAAUUUGUAUAAGUGCAUACCAAAAUGAGAAUAGCAGCAAACUUAUUAAAAUCAAGAUUUUUAAUGACCUAAAACUCUAAUAAAGGAUGAAAAAGUUGUAGAAUUAAAAAAUAUUUGAAAAAUUGGAGUGAAAUUAAAACUAUUUGAAAGAAAACUAGAGUUUUGAAAUUUAUUUGAAAAUUGAAAUCUCGAAAAUUAUUUGGAAAUUGGAGUUUCGACAAUUAAAUCUAAGAAUUGGAAUUUUGGAAAUUAAAUUUGAAAGAAAUUGGAAUUUCAAAAAUUAUUUGAGAAUUGGAGUUUUGAAAAUUAAAUUUAGGAAUUGGAGUUUUAGAAAUUAAAUUUGAAGAUGACAUUUUUAAAGAAAUAAAUUUAGAAAUUGGAAUUUUUGGAAAUUUUGAAAAAUAAUAUUUUAAAGAUUAGAUUUGAACUUUUGGAAUUUUGGAAAAUUUUGAGAAUGGUAGUUUUGGAAAAUUAUUCGAAAAAUGAAAUUUCAAAAAAUUAAAUUUAAAAAUUGGAACUUUGGAAAAUUAUUUCGAAAAUGAAAUUUUGGAAAAUUUUAAAAAUUGGAGUUUUGGAAAUUUAUUUGAAAAUGGAAUCUUUAAAAAAAAAUUUGGAAAUUGGAACUUUAGAAAAUUGAACUUUGAUAUCAAAAUAUGAAGAGAUAAUAAAUAAAUAAAUAAAAGAGGUGUGACAAUUGGGAUUGGCCAAAGGUGGUCAUGCAAAUUGGAAACAUGCAGGGGUGGGCUCGGAUGCAACUAUGUUUAUUCUACUGGCAGCUCGUCAUCAUCUAAAUCACAUGGACUUCUUGCUUGAAUCGGUCAUCACACUGCCUACAUUACUUGAAGAGACACAUGCCAGUUGUUGGCUUAUUUGUCCAUGAAUGAUAAGCUCCCUGUUUUCUUCUUCCCCAAACUUCUACCAAGCAAUGCACCCCAAAUUAUGACAUUGGGUUUUAUAGGCAUUAAGUAGAUCAUAUCCUCUGCUUUGUCGAGUUCACCAGAACGGCUGAGAAAAUCAACCACACACCCAUAGUGUUCAACCUUGGGACAAACUCCAUACUCCUUGUCCAUAGUAUUGAAACAAUUAAGCCCCUUCUCAACCAACCUUGCAUGAGUACAUGCUGUAAACAAUCUCAUGAAAACAACAUCAUUUGGCUUUACUCCACAGUUGAGCGUUUCAUAAAAGCAUCCAAAAGCUUCAUUUGCAUGUUCGUAGAUGGCCAACCCACAUAUGAUUUGUACUCCAUGAGAUCACAUCUCUCUCUUGCAUCUUAUUGAAUACCCUUCUAGCCUCCGUUGUGCAUUCAAACCUUGCAUACAUAUCUGCCAAGGCGGUUCCAUCAUAAACAUUGAACUGAACACCAUUGUUCUCAAUGUAAGAAUGAACCCAUCUGCCAGCUCACAGUGCCCCAAGCUAUCCACAUGCAAAGAGCACAAAUCUGCUCAUUUCCCAUUGCAGACAUCACACUCACAACCAAGUCUUUCCCCUCAGCAAAGCCAUCCUUGAUUUGGGUCAUCAGAUCGUCAUCAGUUGGUGGGAGGAACCGUUGGGACCUUGCUGCGCGCUGUACUCCAGAAACCCCUACAACAACUCUAUCUCACCUCGUCGGUCCAUAGCCGUUAUCCUUGUCCUCAUUGUCUUCUAGGUCUUCUUCCACAUGACUGUAACCUUUAAUAGAGCCCGGUUCAUUACCUUUACCUCUUGUACUACGAUCACUACUUGUAGAGUUUGAGCCUGCUGCUAUAAAGGUUGAGAUGAAUCACCAUGAAGUGUGCCAAGUAUCAAAGAAAAUAACAUGCAGCGUAGCGGUUCUACACCCAGUCCAUUAAACCCGAGAUUUUGCCUAAGCGACUUCCAAGCCUGACCUUAACCACUACGUUAGAACCUCAGCUCAAACACUAAGUUAGGCUCCCAAAAGCUCUUUGUCACUUACCAUCUCGGGGUCAUAAUGAACUUAUGCUUUUUCACCUAAAGAUUUUGAAUCAAUGUGGAUUGGGAACCCACAUUUUCAAUAGUCCCAUGGAUUAUCUCCCCAUGAAUGGCCUCUCUGUAUUUUUCUAUUAGGUACAAAGCAGAUAUAGCAUGGUCUUCACAAAAAUUCAUGGCACAACUGUUGUUUCUAACUUGAGCCCUAUCUGAAUGAGUGUUCAUACAUCGAUUGCUAUCUAAAUGUGAGUUUAACUGAUCCGUACAGGGCUUAGAAUAUGCAGAAAGCUCUAAGAAAAGAGACAAACUAGAAGAUAGAGUGAAGAAAUUUACUAGGAACACUCAUGAACAAGUGCAAAAGUGUGGAGAUAAUAUCCAAAAGGAACAAAGAACUAACAUACAAAAAAUGAGUGUCAAAAUGAGCCACAUUGCAGGAUCAUUUAAUGGGCUUCUGGUGGUAAAAAAAAAAAACACUAGCAUAUUCAAAAUGAAAUGCAGACAAUAUGAAACAGAGCAAGCAAUAACAUAGCCUCAAUAAUCUCAAUCAGAAUCUGACAUGAAUGAUAAAAUAAAAACCAAUAAUGGCAAGCAUAUGAGCAACCUAGAAGUCAUUAGAAACAUCAAACAUACUUGGCAAGACUUCUCCCGAGCAAGCUCUGCUCGUCUUGAAACACUCCUUCCACCCGAAAUGCUAAGAUGUUUCUUCUUCUUUUCCAUAGACCCGUUCCCCAUUUCUCUCUCAAUCUCUCAAAUAUCUCUUCCUUGAAUCCACCGACCUCCCUCGACUCCGUUUAGCUCUCUUCUUUUCUCCAGAACUCCCUUUAUAGCUCUCUGUUGUUUUUUCUUAGGUACUUAGGUCUCCGUUUUUCUCUCUAAAAAAAACGUCAUCUCUCUCUCUCUCUCUCUCUCUCUCUCUCUCCCCCCCCCCGCUGCCCCUCCAAUGCUACCCAUUUCAUCCACGUCCCUCUUUGUCAAUCCCUCAUAUGUCACCUCCUUGAAUCAAUCAACCCCCCUACUUCUAUGUCAAUCUUUCAGAUAUCACUUCCAUUUCCUGUCAGUUUCCACCCGUUCCACUGUUCUUCGUUCAUCUUUUGAAGCUAUUCUGAAAAAAAAAAAAGUCUUCAUCUCAACCACCACUAUGGCAAGGUGGUGGUGUCCUUGGCCAUGCAUCCCAUGCAACUCUGAGCAUGGAAACCGUCCCCCCACUCCUCCAAAAAUGAAGUGUUGUCCAACUCCCUCUGGGAUGAUAUGAAAUACUUUUUUGUGCUUUUAAUAAAAACAAUAACAAUAAAAAAAAGGCAAAUGGGACUUAGUCUGCAAAAAAAAGAGUCUACAGUCAUCGAUUUCCAUCAAUUUUUAAUAUUAAUUAAGUCGGUUUUUUAGUUUCAAAUUAUUUUUGAAAAAUAAUAAAUUUUAUAUAUCAAAUAUAAUUUGAUUUGAAAUUUAUUUGCUUAAUGGAAAAGUGUUAUAAAAAUUAAAAGAAAUUCAAAAAAUGUAUGCGUAAUUUAAAGAAAUGUCAUAUUUUAAGAUUUUUGGUAUUAGUAUUAAAUUAUAGAGAGAGAAAAUGGAUGAUGUCAUAUUCAAUUUUAUUUAUUUAUUUUUAUAUUUUCCUUUUGUUUGUGAAAACAACUUUUACUUAUGCUCUAAAAAUUAUUCUUUAUUUCACUUUAUUUUUUAAAAAUAGUUUUUAAAGAACAAUGACCAAAUAGUGUUAAGAAUUUAUAGAAAUAAUUUUCUGUUUUUUAAAAUAGAAAAUUAUUUUUAAAUCACAUGGCUAAACAUAUUGUUAACCCAAUGGUUUUCCUAAUUGUGUCUUGAUUAUAACAAAUCAUGGUUAAGUUACUAAUUUGUUUGAAUUAUAAAGAAUUUGAGGUGUUAAUUUGAAAGUUCAUCAAAUAACCUAAUGAAUACACGAUCAAGAAAAUUGGAAGACCUUUAAUAAUAGGAAACAUAUGUAAGAUGAAUGCAUGAGUGCACUUAGGAUUUUCAUAUAUUUUCAUGAAUAUUUUAAAACUCGGUUUAUGCAUCAAAGUAACAUUUCCAUUUAAAUUUGAGUUCUAUCAAAUGAACCUUAAGCAAAACGUUUCAAAAUUGGCGGAUUAAUUUACUUAAAGACCUUGCCUAAGUGUCAGAAGCAAAAAGACAAAAAAAUAUUGGUUUUCGGGCCAAAAAUGGUGAACCAAUUAGGUAUUGGCCAACCGGCUCAACGGGCUAGGGUACCAAUCAACUGGUUAUUCCUUUUUGGUCGAGAUCCGAUUAAGAGAUGCAAAAAACCUUCUUUCUCUUUCAAUAGCCUUUCAUUCCCAGUCGAGUGAUAUGCUUCAUCGUUUAAGGUCCGAUCGAGGGCAACUGUCACUUGCCAAACAUUAAAUGUUCUAACGGCUAGUGAACCGAUCGACCCCCAACUUGACCUGUCGAGGCUACUUUUUGGCAUUUUGGCUCCCAAUGUAAGAAACCUAUAAAUUGAGAGCUCCACUUCAUUUAUAAAAGAGAGAAUACAUGCACUUGUUUGUUUACAUAUUUGUUCUUGCCUUAAAAGUUCUCAUUCUUUUCUGGGUGCAUUAAAUCUCCAUUUGCAUAUUCUUUAGUGCACUUUUGUAAUUCAUCCUAGCCUUGAGUUGUAUUUGAGUCAUUGUUAAGUUAGGUUGAGAGAUUCAAACUUAUUAUUUGAGUGUUAAAACCUUCAAGUGAGUAGAGACUUGAAGAGAUUGUGUAAGAGGCCAUUGGAGCUGGAAUCCAAGUGUAAAAGUGAUUAAAAGCUUGGUUGAAACUUCAAGUAUAGUAGAAUCCUCACUCGGUUAGGAAUUUGACGAAAGUGGAUGUAGGCAAUGAAGUGUUGAAUCACUAUAAAAUCUGAGUUUGUUUUCUUUAAUCUUAUCUCUUUAUAUUUGUGCUUCUUAUGCUUAAAUUUAUUGUGUUUGAAAAAUAAUUUUUUAAACUCUAAUUCACCCCUCCCCACCCCCUUCUUGGGUGUUUUCUAUAUUAAGAUUAACCUUUAUUUUCUCACACACUCUUAGUAAAUUUUAUAUAUGAUAAAGAAAUUUUAAAAGCUAUAUUGAAAAAUAAUUAUUUAAAAAACCAUUAACAAAAAAUUUGAGGUAUCAAACAAUUUUUACUACCUCAUAUUUUAAAAUUUUUGAAAUUGAUUUUUAAAUACACUAGGUAAAUCAACGAUUGUUGUAAAAGAUAUUCUAUUUCUAUAUAGAAAUUUUUUUGGGUAAAUUUCAUUCACCUAAAUACCGACAGCCACCAUUAAUGCAAAAAUUUGUCAAAUACCUCCCUUAUUGGUUGCUGGUUGGGUUGGUUUGAUGGCUUUAUAUUUAGUAAUUUUUUAUCCCUUUGACCUCGUUCUUGAUCCAAUGUGGAGACAAGGUAUGUUCAUUAUACCCUUCAUGACUCGUUUAAGAAUAACUAAUUCAUGGAGCGGUUGGAGUAUCACAUGUAUGACUAUAACAAAUCCGGGUAUUUGGAGUUACGAACUUUUCUUAUUUGUUAUUUGAGUUAAUUUCAUUUAUCUCCUUGAGAUUUCAGCUAAAUACAUUUAUUUCCUAUAAGUUUGACAUUUCAUCAAAUAUCUCCCUUUUUUUGUUCAUUUCUUAUUUGCAUUCAUCUUCCAUCUGACUUCAAAUAAGGAAGGUGAUGAAAUUUCAAACUUAUACGAGCUAGAUGAUUUAGUCAAAACUUCAAGGGAGGUGAAUGAGAUUAACCAUUGCUAUUUUAAUAUUCUUUAACGGUAUUCAAAAUUAGAGAGAUAUGUGAUAAAAUUUGAAAUUAAAGAGAUUUUUAUACAUUAAUUAUUUUUUAUAAGACAAUACAACAUAAAUUAAUAUUUUUACCAUUUUAGUACAUUAAUGUGAUAGAAUUCAAAUCCUAUUUUAGUUGUUUUAAAAAAAAUUGUUUUUAAGAAUAAUUUUUAAAAUCAAAUUUUAAUUAUUUUUAAGAAUAUACAUUUCGAAUCUCAACUACCUAAUAGUUUUUUUUUUUUAAUUAUCCAUUUUCAAAACAAAUUAUUAAAAAAAUUAUUUUUUAUCAAAAGUUUGCCCCAUAUAUAUAUAUAUAUAUGAUUUUUUUUCCUUAAAAAAAAGAAAAGAAAAAACAAAAAGCCAGGGUGGCAUUGUCUCGAGCUUUGUUCUCGACAGCCAAGUCGGGGCGGGCACGUCAUAAACUUGACAUUCAAGAAACCAGCCACGUGUCAGAACUUUUCUGACGUGGCACAACAAAUCCCAUAAUUUAAAAACUUUUCCUCCUACUCCUUUCUUUUCUGUAAAGCCAGAGAGGGAGCAUCUUCUUCUUCUCACCUUUCCUGCGACCCAACUCCACCCACCCUGAAACCCCAUGUGUGAGUGGCCAUUUUCCAACCCACCAACGCCUUUUUCCACCUCAUUCAUACCCUCUUUCCCUCUCUACAAAAUCUAGCCACAGCUGGUGAUGGCAGCCACUGAGGAAUCAUCUCUUCCCGUUGAUUUUGAGGUGGAAAUGGCAGCCGUGGAGAACUCAUCUUCCUUUGAUUUCGAAGUAGAAAUUUCUGAAGAAGAAGGCAAGGAGGACAGCAGUUCCUCAGGCGGCAACCUCUUUUCUUCUUCAGGAGUAACGGGUAUUUUUUUUUAUUUUUGAUUGGAAAUCUGUUUUCGUUAUGUAAUUUUGGUGUCUUGCUUGGUUGUUUUCUGGGUAUCUAGGAUGAUGUAAGGGAAGAGAGAAAAUCAUGAAUUAAAGGAAUGGAUGGGAUUAUUAUCAUUAUUAUUAGAUUAUCUAGAAUGAUUUCGUUUGAAAUGAAAAGAGGCAAGCACUAAUGGCCUCCACAUCGAGUAUGGGUGCACCAAGGACGUUAAACUAAUGGUUUUUGUGAUGUAAUUUUGGCUUUCUUGUUUGAUCAUUUUCUGGGUAGCUGGAUGAUGUAUGGGAAAGCGAAGGGGUGAAUAGCAAUUCUAGUAGAUUAAACUAAUAUGGAUGCGGAAAUUGGCAAAUGGGAUUUGAGAUGAGAGGGGUGUAGGUGCGAUUUGGGUUGAUAUGACAAGGGGUAUCAAGGGCUUUGUCGAGUAUUAAUGUGGAAAGGAUAUUUCAAUUAAUGCUGUUUGUUUUGGCCUGAAAUGAAAAAUGGGCAAUUUUUUAAUAUUGAGCAUGAAUCUGGUAAGAAUAUUUUAAAGGUAAGUAGACUAAUGUUAGUUGUUUUAAGGGGCAAUUAUGAGCUUGCCAUUGAGUAUGAAGGCUGUAAGGGCAUUUUUUUGAAAGUCAAAUGGAAUAAUGGUGGUUAUUUUGGUUUGAAAUGAACUGGGCCAAUGAUGAUCUUGUUAUUGAGUACAGAUGCGAUAAAGGGUGGUUUUGAAAUUAAAUUGAGCAAUACGAAUAUUUGGUUUGAAAUGAAAAGGGGCAAUAUUAGCCUCAUCAUUAGGUAUUGAUAUAGUAAAGCUCUCUCUCUCUCUCCGUGUCUUCUUUUCUUUUCUUUUUGAAAUCAAAUGGAUCAUUUGGGUUUGAAAAUGAAAAAGAGGCAAUUGGCAAUGAUUGCCUUGUCUUUUAGUAUUUAUUUUUUUGGUACGAGUACUUAGCUUGUUGGUGGUUGGGCUUGAUUUUUCCUUUUUAAUCUGUUCUAUCAGUCUUUGAUAGAGAACAAAAGUCUAAUGGUUGCGGUCAUUGGUUCAAACUCUCAACAUGCUUGUAUUUAAAUUAUGGUUUCAGAGCUGGAGUUUCUAUUACACACCAAUUAGUCCUAAGAGGAGUCAAUGUUGCAAUCCAUCAAGAAUGUUUGAACUUUAUGUUGGCAUGUUCUAUCUCUUUCAUCACCGUUAGUGCAUGUGCAUCAAUGCAGGGGAGCAAUGUUUUUUGUUUUUUGGUGUUUAUAUUUUCUAUUUCUGAGUCUCCUUUACUCAGGGAUUACUGACAGGAAUUUGCCCAGAGACAAUCCUAUUCGUCCGGAAACAUCAACUUCUGGAAAAUCAAAUUCAUCUUCAAGUCAGCUUACCAAUACUGAGACAUUGAGAAAGAAGAAGAGAUAUAGUCAAUUUCUAACAUUUAUGGAUGGGAAAGUUCCUAUUAGAAAGAUGGUGAGCAUAAUUUUAAGCUUGGGUAUAAUUUCCAUCACCUUGUUUUAUUUGUUUCUAGUGAUGAUGGUGGAUUCCUAGUCCAUUUGUUGUAUCUGACUGAAUUUUGAUUUUGGCAUGAGCUCCUUAUAUUAUUGUAAAUUAAUUAUUUAUUCAAUUUUAGUAUUAGGACAGGUGAUUUUCAGUUAUUUCCUCUUGUUUUUGCCAGACAAAUUAUCCACAAAGGUAACAAAGUCCUGAUACCCAAAAAAGGAAAAAAACAAAAAAAGUGGGAGCAGGUUGAUUCACUGCUUUUUUUCUUUCUUCUUUGAUCAGGUCAAAAUCUCAAUGUUCAAUGGGCUUUCACACCAAGCUGCAGUUUUGAGUUUGGUUAAGAACAAAGAGAUAAAAGGGAGAAAAGAAAAGAAAAAUAGGAAAGCAGUGGAACUAGAGAAACUUGAGGUUUUUCUAUAUCUCAAUACAUUAAUACUAAAUGCUUAAUAAUUGUGAAAAAUUACAAUCAUAACCUUAUGUGUAUGAUAUGACACAUAAAAGACUCUAACCUAAGCAAUGAUGAGAUGAGUAGUAAGCCUUUCUAUUUCUCUCCAAAACAUUGUAACAGUAACUAGAGGGCUUUCACUUAACUCUCCUACCCAAUUUUAGUUCUAUUAGGGUGUCCACAGUUACUUCCUAGAAUCUCUGUCUCCUUCAACAAGUUCAGGAUGCACUUUUUUUUUCUUGUUUUGUGAGAUGAAUAUACUUUGGUCAAAUGACGCAGCUGGAAUCUUGGGAAAAUCUCUAAUUCCUAACUGUUAAUUUCAAAUUCUAUUAUCAAGCUAGUUUUAGACCUCUUCAUCUCCACAUCAAUGUUACUUGUUCUUACAAUAUCAUCUCUCACGGUUCUUCUUCGUUUUCAUUCUUUUAUUUUAUUUUUGGUUUUUGACAUCAUGAAACAGGUGAUCAGAAAGUUUGACUCAUUUGAGAAAGAUUUGUUUAGUGAUCUCUUCUUAUGAUGAUUAUAGCCAUUCAAAGUUUGACAGGAUUUAUUAUUUUUUUAUACAACAUUCUUUUUAUGCCCAAGUGUUUGGGAUUUACAGUGAACCCAUUUAAAAAUUCUGCAGAGGAAAUUAUUGAGAGAGCUUGCUACUGUUAAAGAUGGAACUGUCCGGUUUGAAGUACCAGAAGAUAUGAAAUCCCAAAGCCUUGAUUUUGGAGCAGGAGGUGCUUAUAAUGACAAUAUCAUUGAAGAACAUGUGGAUGCAAUAGACAAUCAUGUACCUCCACUUCAAAUAGUAAUGCUCAUUGUUGGAACACGAGGAGAUGUACAGCCAUUUGUUGCCAUUGGAAAAGGCUUACAGGUGAUACACAGUUUUCUUUCUUUUUUUUUUUAAAUCUUUUUUGCAAGCACAUCCAUUAGAAUUUACUUGAUUCCAUAUAUUGACUUAAAUCAAAUUGUAGUUUAAAGUUCAGGAUCAUAUGCUAUCUAUAUGCUAUCUCUAUGCUAAGACCCAGUCUAUUUGGUCUUAAUAACCUCUUCUAGAGAAGUUGACAUCGCCGUUGUUGCUAUAUUAGGUUCCUUACAUUGGCCCUUUUUCUCUUUUCCGUCUUUUUUAUUUUCUUUAUAUUUCUCCUUGUAAAUCCUCUCUCUCUCUUUUUGUAUAGGCCCUUUUGCUUGUAAAUUGUACCAGCAGAAAGCAUUCUCAUCCUUCAUUUCAAACUCUUUCAUCUAUUUGUAAUACUACAUCUGUUUCUUAUUAAAAAAAGAAAAGAAACGGUUAUACUAUUGUGGGUAUAAAUGGACUUUAUGCUUGUUUGAAAUAGGGUUUAACUUUUGUCUUUAGUAGGAGAAGAAAUAGAAGCAGAAACAAUUACUAUUGCCGUGCAAUUAAAUUUAUGUUUGGAAACCAUAUUUUAAAAUAUUUUUAUUAAAACUAAGGACAAUUUUGAAAAUUUUAAAAUUUUAAUUAAAUUAAAUUCUCUUUUCUAUAUUUGAGAGUUCUAUCCAAACACCCUUCAAACUUUGCAUUUGACUAUGAAAUAUUUUUAUUUAUUUAUUUUUAAUUUUUUUAGUAUUUAAAAAGCUUUUUCAAAUAGCACUUAUCUAUGUGAGCAAUGGUUUUUUGAUUGUUUGGUUUCUUUGUUGAUUUUUGGUGUGUUCAUGUUUAUGAAAGAGGAAACCCAACAUUUUGUUCUUUAACAAAAGAAGGAGAGCCUAAAGGGGGAUUUGGCUUGCUUCUUUUUGUAGUGCGAAGGGGUGCAAUGGGUCCUUGACUUUUGAACCUUGUGCGUUGGCGAUGUCCUAGAGAAUAGAGGGGAAGGAGUCAAUCGUUGAAUAAGUUGUAUUGGUUGAAGUUGCAUGAUUCAAAGGUAUCUUCUAGUAGUUUGUUUCCUCAUUGGGUGAUGAGAUCUCUUUGUCUCCUUUUCCUUUCUCUGUUAAUAAGCGUUCAGUCUCGAGUAGGGGUAAUAGCAUGGUCUCUUAGAGGGAGUUGGGAGGGGGAUGUUUGCUAGUCUUGCUGGUACAAUAAGAGGACCUUUGAGGAUGGUCCUCUAAGGUGGCACAUCGAUGGCGAUUCCUAAUAAUUUUUUAAGACAAUUAGGGGGAAUCAAUGAUGUAGAUAGAAGAGGGGAGGUGGGAUCAAUGCAGGAGAACAUUAGCAACUUUUAGGAAGCAGAAGAGUAACCCUCUGAGUGGCCUUUCAACAAACUGACAUCUUUUGAAAAAUUUAUGGGGAUGCUAAUUGAGGUUUUUAUUUAUUUAUUUUUAUUUUUAUAAUAAGUAAGCAAUGAUAGAGAGAAUGCUAGUCAAGGGUUUUGAAAUGCAAAUUAUCUCUUUGUUAAGGAAGAUGGAGACCAAAAGAGGUGGUAGAGGUUUGAUGUUGGGGGUGAAGAGGAAGCUAACCUCAACUUCUUGCUUUGAGAGUGAGCUUUGGAAGUUGGAAUGGUUGAUCAAUUAUAAACUCUUCCUAUUAGAGGGGUUAAUGAGAUCAUAUGUGGGAACGGUCUUGGGAGCUAGCACCUAUUGGUUGAUGAAGUUGAGGAUUCUUUUUUAGAGUGUUAGAGGGGUUAAUGAUGGGAAGAAACAAAAGUUAAUUAAGCAUAUGAUUAAAUCUCAGAAGGCGGAUUUAGUCAACUUACAAGAAACUAUGGUGCAAGAGUCAUCAAUGCAGAUGGUUAAGGAUUUGGGUGUAGGAAGAUUCUUGGAAUGGGGAGCAGUGGAAGCUGAAGAUUGGAAGAAGGCAUUCUAAUGUUUUGGGACAACAAGGUGUUGGAAUUGAUUAAUAUGGAAGUGGGAGUGUUUUCUAUUUCUUGGCAAAAAUUGUGAAGAUGACUUUGUUUGGAUGUUCAUAGGGGUGUAUUGGCUAAUUCAAAAGGGAGCAAGAGGAUUGCUUUUUUGGAGCUGGGUGCUAUAUGAUGUCUUUGGGAUGAUUCUUAGUGCUUAGUAGCUGAUUUUAAUAUGGUUAGAUUCCUUUGGGGAAGGAGUACUAAACAAGGUUGUCUUUCAUGAUGAGGCUUUUUUAGGAAUUUUUUUUUUGAUAAGUAAACAAGAUAUGUAUUAGAAAAGGCUAAACGCCACAAAGCAUACAGGGAGUAUACAAGACGGCUAAAGCCUCAAAAAAAAAAAGAAAAAGGACCAGAAAGAAACUACCUCCCCUUAAGUGGAAGCUAUCCACUCCAAAAAACCUAUGAGGGAGAAAGACUCCUCACCUAGAUACACUUUGGCCCAAUUCCACAAGUUACAGACAAAAGAAUACUUUAAUUUCUGAAUAUUCAACUCACCCCCCCUAAAAGCUAACCUAUUCCUCUCCUUCCAAACCGUCCAAAAAAUACAUAACGGAAUGGAUUUUCAAAUCUUUUUCCUUUUCUUCCCUACAAAUGAGCCCCUCCAGGAGAUUAAAGUCUCCUUUACAGUUUCUGGGAGGACCCACUUAACAUCUAUCAACCCAAAAAUAAUAUCCCAAAGGGCUCUAGUCACUAUACAGUGUAAAAGAAUAUGAUUUACAUUCUCUUCUUCACAACCACACAGAAAGCAGCAAUUCGGGAGAUGCACCCCUCUUAACUGGAGUCUAUCCAGAGUAAGCACCUUCCCCCACGUAGCCUCCCAAGCAAAAAAACAGACUUUAGUUGGCACCCUAUCCACCCAUAUUCUCCUUGCGGGAAAUACUGUGACAUUAGGCUUGUCCAACAGCCUGUAAGCUUCUUUGAUUUUGAAAAUACCAUUUCUUCCCUGCCUCCACACAACUGAAUCAUCCUCCAAGGAGGGCCUGUAACCCCUCAAAGUAUGAAGCAGCUCUCCAACCAUAUCCAUCUCCCAAUCAUUGAAGUCCCUCACAAAAACAAGCUUCCAAUCCCCUUGGCCCGAAUCCUGAUCCCACAUCUCCUCAAUCGUAGCAUCCCUAUGCACGGCAAGGACAAAGAGUUGAUUGAAGCAUUGGGACAAUGGAAUGUCAGUGCACCAUCUAUCUUUCCAAAAUUUGAUUUUGGAACCCUUCCCAUCUAUAAAUGCCAAAUUUUCCCAGCACCAAUCAGAUUCCUUCAUGAUCUCCUUCCAGACCCCUACUCCAGCCGCCCCACGGACCUUCUUUGGCCUCCAGCCAUAAUCCUCUUGCCCAUAUUUUGUAGUGAUCACUUGGUUCCAGAAAUUAUUCUUUUCACAAGCGAACCUCCAAAUCCACUUUCCCAGCAAGGCUCUAUUCAGAGUGGCUAUUCUCCUUAAUCCUAGCCCUCCCUUGUGUUUCUCUGUACAGACUGCAUCCUAUUUAACUAGAUGAACUUUUCCCUCCAAGUUUCCUCCCCCCCAUAGGAAAUCUCUUUGGGUUUUUUCCACUCUUUUAGCAACAGACUUAGGCAUUCGGAAAAUAGACAGUUUGUAAAUUGGCAAGCUAGCCAAGGUGCUUUUUAUGAGAGUGAUUCUCCCCCCUUUGGAUAUGUACUGUCUUUUCCAAAGCGCAAGUCUCCUCCUGAUCCUCUCUUCCACCCCAUCCCACAUAGAAGUAGCCCUAUUGGGGACCCCUAAGGGGAGGCCCAAAUAAUGAGAGGGCAAAGACCCCACCCUGCCACCUAACUCAGCUGCCAACUCAAGAAUAUCCUCCACGUCUCCAAUUGGAAUGAUCUCACUUUUGGCUAGAUUAAUCCGAAGACCCGAAGCCGCUUCAAACCAAAAGAGAAUCCAGCUUAGGUGAGAAACUUGCUCUUUGCUCGCCUCACAAAACACAAUUGUGUCAUCAGCAAAAAAUAGGUGGGAAAUAUUCAAGGAUGUUCUACUGCCACCCCGUAUAUUGCACCCUGAAAGAUAACCCCCCUCCACUGCUCUCCUGAUAAGGACGUCCAGAACCUCCAUUCCCAUAACAAAGAGAUAAGGGGAAAGGGGGUCCCCUUGACGAAGCCCUCUAGUGCUAGGGAAGAACCCAGCUGGCACUCCAUUAACAAGAAUGGAAAAUUUAGCAGAGGAAACGCAACUCCACAUCCAUCCCAUCCACUUGGGCCCAAAGCCCAUUUUUUGGAGGACCUUCAUUAAGAAUUUCCAAUUGAUGCUAUCGUAAGCUUUUUCUAUAUCCAAUUUGCAAAUAAGACCCUUUUCUUUCCUCUUCUGCCACGAAUCUAUCACCUCAUUAGCAAUUAAAGACGCAUCCAGAAUUUGUCUUCCCUUUUCAAAGGCAUUCUGAGCAAUAGACACCACCUUACCAAUCACUUUUUUGAGCCUAUUAGCUAAAACUUUAGCCAACAGUUUAUAGAGCCCCCCCACCAGGCUGAUAGGUCUAAAGUCUCCAAGAUUCUCCGCCCCGCUUUUCUUAGGAAUCAACACCAAAAAGGUGUUGUUAAGGCUCUUAACAAAGGAACUAUGCUCAUGAAACUCUUUAAACAUCUCCAUGAUCUCCUCCUUGGCAAAGUCCCAUGCAUCUUGCCAAAAGGCAACAGUAAAGCCAUCCGGGCCAGGGGCUUUAUCCCCAUUCAUCUCCAUCAACGCCGAGUGAAUCUCAUUCUCUGCAAAUGGGGUUUCCAGACUCUUUGCUUCUUGCAGGCUAAUACAACCCACCGGAAUGCUACCAAUAUCCGCCUGCCAACCCAUGUCUUCAGUAAGCAACUGCUGAAACGAGUUCACAACACCUUCUCUCACCUCCUGCUCCUCUACUAGCCACUCCCCAUUAACCUUAAUUCUGUCCAUAGCGUUGUGUCUUCGAUGUGCACUAGCCAUUCUAUGGAAAAACCCCGUAUUUUUAUCCCUGUCCUUUAACCAAAUCUCCCUUGAGUGCUGUCUCCAAUGGGCUUCCUCCAACAGGACCCAUUUCUUAAAGGAAUCUUUAGCUUCCUUUUUUAAUUCAGCUUCCUCCAUAGACAAAACUCUCUCACUUUCCACCCGAUCCCAAAAAUCUAUUUGAUGUAAGGCUGAAGCUUUAUUAGUUUCCAGCCUCCCAAAAACCUCUUUGUUCCACAUAUUCAGCUUCUUUUUAAUUUCCUUCAUUUUGACGGCCAAUCUAUAACUAGCGCUGCCCCUGACUUCAAUUCCUUGCCACCAGGUUCUAACAAUGUCAUUAAAUCCCUCAACCUUAAGCCACAUAUUUUCGAAUCUAAACGGGGUUGGGCCUCUUCUUAUCCCACCUCCCUCUAACACAAUUGGAAAGUGAUCAGAAGUUGGCCGAGAUAACCUGCCCUGCGUGACGCCACUAAACUGAUCUAACCAGCUAGGAGAAACUAAAAAUCUAUCUAGUCUCGCCCACGCCUGAUUAUUCAGCCCCCCACUCCAUGUGAACUCUCCCCCCUGAAGGGGCAGGUCCACCAGCUCUAGAUCAUCCACAGACUUUGCAAAUCUCCGCAUGGCUGAGCUGAUUCUUCUUUGGCUGCUCAUUUCGUGUUGGAACAGAGUGAUGUUAAAAUCCCCACCGAGACACCAGGGAUCAUCCCAAAGGCCUCUUAUUGCCCCAAGUUCUUCCCACAUACCCUCCCUUUCCACUUUGGUGAAAGGGCCAUACACUCCCGUAAAAACCCAAGUAGCCCCAUUUUCUAUGGUCUUGAAUCUACAGGACAAGGAAAACUGACCCUCUUCCCAGUCCAGAAUCUCCAGGACCCGCUUAUCCCAGCAUAUCAAAAUGCCACCCGCAGCCCCUUCCGCAUUUAGGGCUCUCCAAUCUAAGAAUCUCCCCGAUCCCAGACUUCUCACUAUACCCUCCGACAUCUCCUGAAUCUUGGUUUCCUGAAUGCACAUUAGGUCCACCCUCUGGUUCCUUAUAUAGUUCUUAAUGAUUUUCCUCUUAGAGCUGUCAUUAGCUCCCCUCACAUUCCAGGUAAUAAUCUUCAUCUUCAUCGGGCAACUAUCAACUGGUUCCCCUUGCCCUGUGAAGGAGCUUUCUGCUUAUUCCCCCCAUCGUAAUUGACAGAGCAUUCCAGCCUCUUCAGCUCCCUUUCAAACUUGGUCUUUUCCAAGAGUUCUUUACUGUGAAUCUUUUCCCGCCUCUUUCUGAUUUUAAUCAAAAAGCUCAAAAUCUCCUUUUCCAGUCCCUCUGUAGAGAAUCCCAAGAACUGGCUAAAUUUAGCUAGACUGCCUUCCUCCCAUAGAUCCUCUUUCUCAUUUUCAGUAUGUUGAGAACCAAAGCCACCAUUGUUCCCCUCCUUGCCCCUAGCCACGUCUCUGUUCUUGUUGACCUCUCCCAAUUUCCAGGAUCCAUCUACAUUCUCAACGUUCCCCUCAUAUACUGUUAACCAAGUCGACAUAUCCCCCCUUAAUUCCUCCUCAAUACCCCCUGGGCGAUCGAAAGACUCCCCCUCCGGAGCCCGAUCAGAAUUAGAAAAUAGAAGAAGAGGUGUACCCACAGCCCGUUUACCUUUAGGAUGGGAAAGUGAGGCUUUUUUAGGAAAUUAUGGAGAACUUGAAUUUAAUGAAUCUUCCUCUUGUUGGAGGGCCAUUCAUGUGGUGUGAAGGGUAGAGUUUCUUGGUCUCUUCGAGAUUGGACCAUUUCUUAGUGUUGGAGGAGUGGGAGGAUAAUUUUUUGAGUUUGACUCAGAGUGUCUUAUCAAAUCAACUUCCAAUCACUCAUUGUUGUAGACGAUGGUGAGAUGAAGAGGGUCAAAUCACCUUUUAGAUUUGAAAAUAUGUAGCUUAAAACGGAAUGAUUCAAAUAUCUUGUAAGAAGCUAGUGGUUGAGUUAUAAUGUGAGUGGUUUUUAUAGCAUAUUUUGGCAUUAAAGUUAAAGGCCCUUAAAAUAGGAUCUAAAAUUUUGGAACAAAGAAGUUUUUGGCAAUAUCACAACCAAACAAUUGGAGGCAUUGAACCAUAUUGGUUUUUGGGACUCUAAGGAGCAAGAAAUAGUCCUUUCAGUUGAAGAGACAAAGGCCAAAAGGGUGGUAAUGUAGGUGUUUAAGAAGUGGGCCUCAAUGGAAGAAACUAUGUGGAGACAAGAGAAAUUUGGUCAAGAGAAGGGGAUAAAAACACCAAAUUCUUUCAUAAAAUGGUCAAUGCGUGUAGUAGAAGAAACUUUUUUUCAAAGUCGGAGUAAAUGAAGAAUGGUUAUCUAAAGAGAUUGAGGUGAAGGAAAGGGUGUCUAGGGCCUUUCAAACCCUCCCUUUUGAAGUGAGAGAAUGGAGAUUGAGCAUUAGUGAAAUGAGCUUUGAAGCCCUAGGGAUCGAUGAUUCUAGGAGCUUGGAGGUGCCUAUUUCAAAGAAGGUUUUUUUUGCCCUCUUCAAUUUGCUUGAGGAUAAAGCUUCUGGCUAGAUGGUUUCACUAUAGUGUUUUAGUAGUCCUCUUGGUGAAGAACGAGAUGAUAGUUUUUUCAGGGAGUUUUUGGAUUAAGCCACUUUUUAGUGAAAUUUAGGGUCUGUUUGGUAACUAUUUUUGAAAACAGUUCUGAAAAAUAGUUUUUAAGAACAAUUUUUGAAAACUAUUGUCUGAUUUUUAUAGAACAAAAGUUUGUUUGGAAACCUAAAAUGUUUUUAACUUGUUUUUAAUAUUUUUAAAUAUGUUUUAAUAAUAAUUUUUAUGCCUAGUGUUUUAUUUUUAAUCAUUCUACAUGUUUGUAUAAUUAUUUUUUAAAAUUACCCUAAAAAAAUAAGUGAAAACAAUAGAAAAUAAGUAAAAGAUGUUUCUUAAAAACACCUUGUUUUCUAUUCUUAAGAACAUAAAACAUAAUACAAUUUUUGGUUGUCAAACGUGUUUUCCUAUUUUCCUGUUUUGGAGAACAAAAAACUGUUCUCGAAAACAGUUUUCAAAUAGACCCUUAAUUUCCACUUUCUAUAAUUUUGAUCUUGGAAAAAGGUGGAGUAGAAAACUUGAAAGAUUUAAGCCCAUCAACUUAGUAGGGGGAUUGUAUAAGUUUCUAGCAAAAGUCUUGAUCAAUAGACUUAAAAAAUUGAUGAGAAAAAAGGUUUUAGUCUAUUAGUAUGCUUUUUUAGAGGGUAGAUAAAUUUUAGAUACAGUCUUCAUUACUAAUGAGAUUGUUGAUUCAAGGUUAAAGAGCACCGAUAAUGGAGUUAUUUGCAAAAUAGACAUCAAGAAGGCCUACGGUCAUGUCAAUUGGGACUUCUUGAUUGUGGAUUUAACAAAAAUGAGUUUUGAUCAGAAGUGGAAUAGAGGGAUAAAAUGGUGUAUAUUCACGAUAAGCUUCUUAGUCCUAGUCAAUGAGACUCCUUUUGAUUUCUUUUAGAGCUCUAGAGGUUCAAGGUAAGGAGAUCCCCUUUUCCUUAUUUAUUCAUAUUGGAGAUGUAGGCUCUUAAUAAGAUUUUAAGUAAAACUAGGGAACGAGGCUUUAAGGUGGGUGGAAGGGGUGGGGAGGG